AUUGGGGCAUUGGUCUUUGCAGCGUUAAUGCUUUUUGCUGGUUGGUUUCAUUAUCAUAAAGCGGCGCCAAAAUUGGCUUGGUUUCAAGAUGUAGAAUCUAUGCUGAAUCACCAUUUGGCAGGGCUACUAGGACUUGGGUCUCUCUCUUGGGCGGGGCAUCAAGUACAUGUAUCUUUACCGAUUAACCAAUUUCUAACCGAAUAUUCAGGUAUCAAAUUUGGUUUAUUUUACAUUGCUUCAUAUCUGAAUCUACUAGUUUCUUCAUUAUUUGUAACAGUUCUUUAUUUGGGAGGUUGGAAUCUUUCUAUUCCGUACAUAUUUGUUCCUGAGCUAUUUGGCAUAAAUAAAAGGGGUAAAGUCUUUGGAACACUAAUUGGUCUUAAAGUCUAUACNNNNNNNNNNNNCACCCCAAUUCAUACGACAAUGGAAGAUCCUUAGACAUAAUAGCCCUCAUUACAGGAACAAGGGAUAUGGAACUAACUAAGGAUCUUAACAUGUGAGAGGAGACAGGAAAAAAGUCCUUAGUCACUCCGCGUACGAAGAACCGCUUAGCAAACUCCAAAGCACCAACUGACGAUACUAACGAUUUCUCUAACGAAAAUGGAACAUUCAGUGGCGAAAUUAGCUCGCGAUAACGCUCAGCCACCCGCCCUAUAUUAUGUCUAUUUUUGUUUAUUCACGAAAUUUAUAUAAAUUUCCCUUUAUCAAUACCACUUUUAUUUGAAUCCCAGAUUUCCUAUGAUUGAUACCCUUUACUGAUUUCAUGUGAUGAUAUUCUGUGUUGAUUUCCGAAUUCUAAAUUAUCUUCUUGCCUUAUUAUGUAGUUGAGUACAUUAUUUACUGAUUCAUAAUAUUGUUUCCUUAAUUAGGACUUUCUGAACCUAGCCCUAAUUACCUGUUCUAUACUUGCAUUGUUUGAAGUCUUUACUUAUUUGUUAUACUCCAGCUAUAUAUGAUUUUUUUCCUUACUUGUCAUCUGCUCUUUACAGUUUGAAUAAUUCCCUUAAUUAAGGGAAGACUUGGACUAAUUUUACUCUGAGUUCUAUAAUUACUGAACAAUUUUGAUUCUUAACUUAUUUACCUAGCUUUCAAACUACUAUAUAUAUUGCUCUCUUCUACAGUCUUACAGACAUAUGAACUCACAUUAGUUCACAUCUCUCAUACACUCAAAAGCUUUUCUGCUUUCUUUUGUUACUUACUAUUGUUACUAAAUUAGUCUGCUGCAAGCCAAGGCUAAUUAUUACACUCUCAUGUUUUUCACCUUGUGUUUACUCUCUUUACUGGUAUGUUCUGAUUUUAAAUUCAAGCUCUCAAACCAAUAUGUUUCCUACUGCUUUAGUUUAUCAUAUUCCUAAUCUGUUUCUAUCUAUUGUUUUGUUGUUCAACAUGUAAUUGACCUAUUGCUCCACUUAGCUUGUUAGUUAUGUCCUACCCCUUUCUAAGAUCAGCAUGGCUUACGAACUUGUAGUCUGUCUAAAAUUAACUCUACCCUGUUUUUGAAUGUUUGUUUACUUGCUAUUUAGUCUCUAGUAUGAACCUUUCUUUGCAAAGCAAUUUUUGUUACUCUAAGUUGUCCGAUUCUAUGUUGGUUCUGAAAUUUUUACUGUAUUGUAUCAUUAGUUAUCCCCCAUCCGAUGAACCCCCUAAAUCACCUCUGAUUCUAUAGCUAUAUUUAGCACCCCUGAAUCCGUGUCUUACUAUUUGCACUAUUAGCUACCCCCUUAAUUGCAAAGACUUCUGUUUACGUCUAUUAUGUGUUCCCAGCCCCAAUUACCCCAGUGUGAAGGGUUGUUAUUUGAGUGUUGCUAAACCUAUUUUGGCUCUAUGUUUGAUCUGAUGUUUGUGUGAUUACACAACUCUUGUCAAAAAUUGUUUUACUGAACAAUUCUCCUAUUUUAUAAAACUACUUCAACUGAGUCUUUUUCAAAUACUACUUUCCUAUUAAAACCUUUUCAAAACUAUGUCAAGCACUCUCACUCUACUCUUAGGUCCUUAAGUUCUGCCCCUCCGGUGUGUGACUGCCUUGGGAUCCCUGUGAGAUCCCUCUAAACUAUGAUGCACUGGAGCUGGCUCUUCCAUACUGCACUUACUCAAUUAUGGUUAUGAAGUCUGGGUAUGAGCACUGCCCGGGGUCCUUUGGGUCCUUAGGGAGCUCUAAUACACCCGUACAUAAUAAAGGCUAUGAAACUUUGGCAUAUGAGGCUAUGGACAGUUUGGUAUAUUUGGGCCUGCUUCAGGCUCCCUAUAGUGUAACUUCUUCUUUUUCUUUAUCUAUUUAUGUAAUUUAUUCAGCUGGUCUGUAAUAAUUAUUUGUAAACGAAUAUUGGGGAUGACUAGUGAAAUGGGGAGGGUAGUUAUAUAUUUCUAUCAAUAUCAUUGGGGUAGAAAGCAUGUUAUAGGCUUUACCUUAUUUAUGCUUGCCAUAGAAUCCUUUCUUUAGGACCAAUACAUUGAAAUUGUGUCAUGCACUAGAUAUUAUGCUCUUAGGUUUCACGUAUACUGCUUCAGCAUCUCAUUUGACACUAAUACAUGUUUAUCACUUAGAAAUCCUUCUCCUAGGUUAAUAAACAACAUUAACAUAAAAGUUGUUACUCAUGCACAUCCUGAGAUCAUGUCUUGACAAUUCUCUAACUCUUUUUGUGCAUUUAGAGAUCAUGCUUUAGGAAUUCUGUUAAUUUAAAGAUUAUUGUCAUAAAAACUGUUGUUUCUGUGCAUUUAGAAAUCAUGUAUUAGGCACUCUGUUUGUAUUUGCUUAGCCACGCCUAGUUAAACUACUGAUUAUGAAAGGAUGUAAAAAUAGUCUCGCAUAUGAUCUUCUUGUUUCAAAUAAAACUUGUAACAAUCCAUGUAUUCUCAGCAUACUUUAGGUAAGAAACAACUCUUGAACUGUUAAUGAUUCUGUAACUAUUAUGCAUGAUCCCACGCCUAGGCAAGCCUUAGGUAAUCAAUCUGUGUAAAACUGGAGAACUGUUUUCGUUUGUGUUUAGUGCUUAACGACUUACGAGUUUAAAAUCAGAAGGCAAACUGAUUAGGACCUUACUGUCGAGUUUAUAAAAAACAAAGUUGCAUAUUUUUGUGCAUUGACAUCCAUUUAGAUAUCCUGUUUAGGUCUUUUCUCUAAUAAAAAAUGCUCUUGUUUAUGUUUGAGACAUGCUGCUUAUGUGCAUUAGUUGUGGAGGUAAACUUGGGCCUCUUGACUGCUUCUUUCUGCAUUUAUCUGUUAAGUCCUAUGUGUUCUUUCCUGUCACCUAGAAUUUUCUCCUUUUAAAAUAACUUAGGGGUUGUCUAGAACUUCCCAGACUUAGAGGUCCUAAACUCCCCUGGGACCAUAAGGAAGGGAUGGUAGCAGCAUGCAUAGAGUUCAUUAAAUAAAAACUCGUUUGAUAACCACUAAGGGGUGGAGUAAUUGGUAGAAAAAGGAUAUGAUGAUUACGUGCUAAUGUCACGUGUAGCCCCUCAUUGAGGAGUGUUUACCGGGCAUUGCGUGGGGUGAUCCAGUAAGCUAACCAACCUAGGACCCCUCCUUCUCCAAAAUUUCCUUUGCUUAAACUUUACUUUUCUAUAUGUACACAGUUUAUUCAAGUCUUUCCUUUUUCUCAUUAUUUGAGUCAUGUAAUGUCCAAAACCUGCUCUUAUUUGUAAUUAUGUGUUUAAACUAUUUAUUUGUUAAAGGACUAGUUCAUAAGUAUAAAUUCAGCUGGGACCCACCAUUGUGGACCGAGAGGGGUGCCUAACACCUUCCCCUCAAGGUUAUUUUGAGCCCUUACCCUAAAUCUCUGGUAAUGCAAACCAAUCUAAGAGUUAAUCAAUCUAGGUGUCCUAACACACCAUAAUCCGUUAGGUGGCGACUCUUUAAAACCCAAAUUCCCAAAAUGAAAAUGAGUUAUUACCCCCCAUGAAUGUUGGAACCCGGACUUUCUCCGUGGAGGAAAAAAGGUGGCGCAACACUUGCAUGCCCAAGAAAGCUCCUCACUCCUUUUACGAAAGUAGGAGGAUGGAGUUUUGAAAUCACUUCAAUCUUCGCUUUGUCCAUUUCGAUACCAUUCUUUAAGAUCUUAUGGCCGAGGACAAUGCCCUCCUCGACCAUAAAGUGGCACUUUUCCCUAUGAAGCACUAGAUUUGUCUCCUCACAUUAGGCCAAUACUUUGUCAAGAUUACCCAAAUAUUCUUCAAAAGAGUCACCCACAACACUGAAAUCAUCCAUGAACACUUCCAAGAAGUCCUCCACCAUGUUAGUAAAUAUAGCCAUCAUACACCGCUGAAAGGUAGCCCCAUGCAUUACACAAACCAAAUGGCAUCCUGGAAAAUGUAAAGGUACCAUACGGACAUGUGAAAAUGGUUUUCUCCUGGUCCUCUAGUGCAAUCAUAAUCUAGUUGUAACCUGAGUACCCAUCUAGAAAGCAAUCAUAGGAACGCCCAGCAAGUCUAUCCAGCAUUGGGUCAAGAAAAGGCAAUGGAAAAUGAAUUUUGUGGGUCACUUUGUUUAGCUUCUGGUAGUCCAUGCAUACCCUCCAUCCGGUGACAGUCCUAGUGAGGAUCAACUCAUUUUGCUCAUUUGUGACCACAAUCAUGCCCCAUUUUUCGGCACACAUUGGACCGGUGAAGUCCAUGAACUAUCCGAGAUAGGAUACACGACCCUUGCAUUUAGCCACUUGAUAACUUCCUUCUUGACAACCUCUUGCAUAGCCUCGUUCAACCUCCUUUGAUAUUCCACGGAGGGUUUGGCAUCUUCCUCAAGUAUAAUCUUGUGCAUGCAAAAGGUGGGGCUUAUCCCUGAAUAUCAGGUAGAGUCCAUCCAAUUUCCCUCUUCCUUCUUUGAAGCACCUCAAGGGUGGCAUCUACCUGCACAUUAGUAAGGCAAGAAGAAAGAAUAAUAGUAAAGUUGAACAAGGUCCCAAUAAUUCAUACCUGAGGUGUGAAGGUAAAGGCUUCAACUCCAAUAUGGGAGGUUCCUCAAUUGAGGGCUUUGUUGGUGGAGUUUUUCUGUUCUCAAGAUCCAAGGAGAGUUUAUGGGGCUCAUAGGAGUAAGAACCCAUUCUGUGCAAGGCAUUGACACAAUCUAUCAAGCCUUCAUCCUCGGUCGCAUCAUGGUUCAACAGUACUGCUUCCAAAGGAUCCUCCACAUGGCACUUGUGUCAUCAACAAUCACCUCCAUCACCAGAUCCAUAAAAGAACAAACCUCAGUACUAUUCGGCUGCCGUAUUGAUUUGCACACGUGGAAGACAACUUUUUCGUCACCCACCCGGAAUGCGAGCUCCCCUGCUUCCACAUCAACCAGUGCCUUCCCUAUUGCAAGGAAAGGUCUUCCCAAUAUUAUCGGCACCUCAUAGUCGACUUCGCAGUCCAGAAUCACAAAAUCAGCAGGCAAAUAAACUUGUCCACCCGAACAAGAACAUCAUCAAUAAUACCAAGCGGCCUCUUCUUUGUUCUAUUGGCCAUUUGCAAUCUCAUUGAAGUAGCUCUCGGUUGACCAAUACCCAAAGUUUUGAAUAUGUAAUAAGGCAUCAAAUUUAUACUAGCUCCCAAAUCACACAAUGCCUUUGCAAAAUCCGCACUCCCAAUGGUACAUAGAAUGGUAAAUGCGCGGGGAUCUUCAAGCUUUGGAUCCACCAAGUGCACAAUAGCACUCACUUGAUGAGUCAUUUUGAUGAUCUCACAAUCCAUAGAUCUCUUUUUAGUUACCAAGUCUUUCAUAAACUUGGCGUAUACCGGCAUUUGCUCGAGAGCUUCCACGGGCACAUUGAUUGACAAACUUUUCAUCAUCUCAAUAAACUUCUUGAACUGGUUUUCACUUUUUUGCUUUGCAAGUCUUUGAGGGUAAGGUGGAAUAGGCCUUGGCAAAGGAGCCUUGGCUUUAGGCAUCACCGUUUCCGGCAUGUCUAUCACGUGUUCCCUAGACGGGUUCACAUCAUUUUGAGGCUCUCCCUCAAUAUCCUAAAUAUCAAUUCUUACCUCACCAUCCAACUUCUCUUCACUCACUUGUUCAACAACUAUAGGAUCAUCAUCAUUUUGCACUUCAACCUCAUCACACAUAACUCCCUUUUGCUUAGAGGUACUUGUUUUACCAUAUCUACCGCUCCUAGUGGUCACGCCAUUGCAUGGUUGGUAUUUUCCCACCCUUCGAGUUUACUACCGUGUCACUAGGUAGUGAUUCCUUAGGGUGAGGGUUCAAAGAUUGCAGAAUCUAGCCAAGUUGAACCUCUAGAUUGUGAAUAGAAGUAUUAUGGGGCGGAAAUUGGGCAUCAGAGUCGACUCUCUUUUUCAUCAUUUGCUCAAACAUCGACUCAAUCCUUCCCAUCUCAUUUUUUGACGAGCUAGGUCCUUGGGAUGGAAAUGGAGGUGUAUUAUUUAGCUGUUGAAACAUUGGAGGCCUUUGACAAUCCGGCCCCCGAUUACCUUGAUUACCAUUAUUCCAACCUCAUUGGUUGUUGUUGCCACCCCAAUUGUUGUUGUUGCCCCAGUUCUGAUUGUUGUUCCCCCAAUUGAUGAAAUUGUUGUUGUUAUUGUUCCAAUUUUCUUGUCCUUGGUUACCACAAUUCUGAUUAUUCCCUUACAAUCUCCAUUGUUGAUUUGGAGCAUUACCAUAUUGUCCUUGAUAGUUAUUGGCAUACAAAGCCUCUUCCCUUUGCUCAUAGUACCCAUCAUCCUGGUUGUAACCACUAUCACCUUGAUCAAACUGAUCUUGAUUUCUUUGCACUUGUUGACCAGACUGUCUCCUCUUGUUCACCAAUAGAUUAACUCUUUUUCUAUUAUGUUUACUUGCUUUGGUCCCUGAAUCUGUUGAAGUUGUGCUUUGGCUAACUGGUUCAUGGUUGUUGUCAACUUAGCUAUGGCUUGUCCGUGGUCCUGAAGUUCCUUGUGAAGAUUUAUGACAUAAGGAUCCCCCUGAGGAACAUUCGCCCGGCUAUGCUAGGCUGAUGAAGUGAUAGCCAUCUCAUAAAAAAUCUCGCAGGCCUCAGCAUAAGAGGGCUUCAUGAAAUUACCCCUUGCUAAUUUGUUUACCACACAUUGAUUGGUCAUGUUUAUACCCUGAUAAAACGUCGGUUGGAUUAUUGCUUCGGUCAUAUCAUAUUGUUGUUGGGGCAUUCCUUGACUAUAGUUCUAUAUCUAUCCCAGAUUUUAUGAAGGGGUUCAUUUGGUUCCUGUUUAAAUGUUAAGAUCUCAUCUCUUAAUUUAGCCAUAUGUCCCGGUGAGAAAAACUUGGCUAUAAACUUGUCGGCCAACUCAUCCCACAUAGUGAUAGAAUAAUUGGGGAGUCUUUCGAGCCAGUCCAAAGCUUUCCCUCUAAGUGAGAAAGGGAACAAUCUCAAUCUUAAUGCAUCCUUCGACACAUUUGUUUGCUUGCUACCCCAGCAUGUAUCCAUAAAUCCCUUUAGAUGUUUAUAUGCAUUCUGAUGGGGAGCACUUGUGAAGUACCCUCUUUGCUCCAAUAAGGUCAGCAUGACAUUUGUAAUCUGGAAAUUGCUAGCCCUGAUCCAAGGUGGGACAAUUGCACUUGCGUACCCUUCAUUUGGAAGCACUCGAGGAGCCACUCGUAGAGGAGGGUCGAGAAUGUUUUCAUUAGCCUGGCGACCUCUUCUUUGACCUUGAGGUACUAGAGGUACCUCAUUGUCACCAUUAUCAUCUAUCUCCUCCCCCGGGAUAACAUUUUCGAUAGGAUCAUUGUUUGCCAUUUUGUACCUGAAUCGAUCAACUCACACAAGUUAGUAAAACAGAAGGAAAGAAAAACAAAACACACAGCUAGUCAGAUAGAUAGCCAAAAACCAUUUAACUCCACAGCAACUGCGCCAAAAGUGAUCAUCUCCAACUCUACACCACAAUAUAAUGGGGGAGGAGUGGUCGAUAAAGCUUUUAACCGAAAGGUCGGGAUCGAAUCCACAUAGAGUAAAUAUAGGUUUGGAAUCGGGUUUCUAUCCAAUCUAGCUAUGUGUGUUGUUCUUAAUUGCACUUCUAAACAUGUUUGGAUUUGUUACUAUUCUAAUUUAAUGCUAAUGAAUUCUGAAAAGAAUCUAAGUACAAUAUUUUUUUGUAAGGGUUUUCUCAAGUGAUAAAAGGCACUAGGGAAGUGACUUAUACCUAGGCGAGUAUCUAAUGGGAUCUAAAAUUUAGUACAAGCCGCUGCGAGAUCGGAAGAGCGUNNNNNNNNNNNNNNNNNNNNNNNNNNNNNNNNNNNNNNNNNNNNNNNNNNNNNNNNNNNNNNNNNNNNNNNNNNNNNNNNNNNNNNNNNNNNNNNNNNNNNNNNNNNNNNNNNNNNNNNNNNNNNNNNNNNNNNNNNNNNNNNNNNNNNNNNNNNNNNNNNNNNNNNNNNNNNNNNNNNNNNNNNNNNNNNNNNNNAUACCUCUNGGUAGAUUGAGCGACUUUGCCCUAAUUGGCUUUCUCAAGACCAAUUGGGUGUUCAAACAAUACAAGUAAAAUUGGCUCAAGUCGGGUAUUACUAUCUCUAGGUUUAACCAUUUAAUUGGGGCUAUCAUUCUCUGAGUGCACUUCAAUUCCUUGUUAGCCUGAAUUUCCUAGACUUAAUCCCUCUUUUCAAGAAGAGUAUAGGUCAUAGAGACAUGAAUUAGUGUUUGCAACCAUCAAUUCUACAAUUAAAACAUGAAACAAGCUAAAUAUCACUAACCCAUAAAUAAUUAAGCCCUAAAAUAGAAGGCCCAUUAAAUACCCACACUAGGGUUGGGUCACAACCCUAGCUAAUGGGUUUAGCUACUCAUAAUAAAGGUAGAAAUCAAAGAUGAAGAUGAAAUAUAAGCCAUAAAAGUCACUUACAAGAAGAAAAUCUAAGAUUAAUGACUAAAGAUGUUCUAAAAUUAUUCUAAGUAGUAAAAUAUGGCUGCUCACAAGCUCCACAAUACAAAAGAUACCCUAAAAAUCUGAAAAAGAUCUAUUUAUACACAGCUAAAAUUACUGGACAAAAAUGCCCCUAUGGAGGUUCUGCUGAUAGCAAAAAACUGAUCGCCUCAAUGCUUGGACUUCCGUGACCGCGCAAAAGCAAGUGCGGACCACAGUUCUUCUCUUUUGAGCUUGGUCUGGACUUGAUUCCGCUAGGAGCGGAAAAGCAACCGCCUCAGCAUUAUCUUCAACCGUGGUCACGAAAUAUGUUCGCGGACCACGCUUUUUUCCAGUUGAGCUCCAAUCUCAAGUCGUCUAUUUCUCAAUUCCACUGAGGGAGAAAUUUGGAUCGCGGAUGCGUCAAGUAAGUCCGCUGCCGCGCUAUUUCGCCAUGGUCAGUGGUCUCUGAUGCCUUCAAAACUCUCUCUCUAAACCUCAUUUCCACUGGGAGAAUAAUUGUGGUCGCCCCUGUGGUUGUCCUUCCGUGGCCGCACUCUUUCAUUGUUGUCAACGCUUUUUCUCUCAGCUUUGAGCUUGUGCAGAUUUCAUUCCUUUAUGAGCUGGUUAUGACUUUCUUGCUUUAUUUUGACCAAAUCCUGCAAACAAGCACAAUACGUCAGUUUUCGGGAAUACUUUUACAUAUUUUUUAUCCAAAACCUAAGCAAAAGAGAGCAUAAGAUAGGCUAGAAUCCAUAAUUAUCAACUCUCACAGCACAAAAAAAAGAUGAAGAACAGAGUGAGACUCCACAGGUAGAAAAGUCCUCUAAGGUUGGUAUUGAUCAAUCUUCAAGUACUCAUGUCUCGGAGUUUUCUGCACCCCUGGAAUCUCUAGAGAAAGAGGCCAUAGAAAACAUAUUGACUAUAUCUGCUGAAGGAAUAAUGUAUGGAGUCACCCCUGCCAUGUCUGAGACUUAGGAGGAAGAGACUCAGUCAUUGGUGGGAGAAGAAACUGUGGUGCUCUUUGAAAAUCCUACACCAGAAGAAACUAUUGGGACCCUUCUUGAAGGACUUGACCCCUCUCCUGAGGAAACAUGUCAAGGAUCCUCUUUCCAGGUCAGUUCUGACCCUGCUCCUUAUUCUCACUUUGAUGUUGAGCCUUUGGAAAUUUUGGCUCCUGCUAUGAGGUCUAGUGAUGAAGAAGAUCAAGAUAAUGUUGCUCUAGAUGCGCUCAUUGCCAGAAGGAGGUCAGUAGCCACUCCUGAACCCUCUUCUAAGUGACCUACUACUAGGUUGCAGGCAAAUAAGGCUCUUGAAUCUGCCCUGCAAAAAAAUAAAAGGAGUAGCAUGAAGAAGAAAAGGAGGCUGGUGAAAAAUGGAGAGGUUGUGUGUGACAAGAACAUCCCUGUUGUGGAAAUAGAUGAGGAAGCUGCAGAGGAACCAAGUUCCUUAGUCAAGAGAUCUCAUAAAAAAGUGAUCUGCUAAAAAUGCUUCAGAAUAAGGUGUUGCAAUUCCAAGUUCAAAGUCAGUGAAAAGUAGUGACAAGUUAAAAGAAGUAGUGGCUGAAGAGUCACUGUCUGAUGAGGAUAUCCUAGUGAAAUCAAGUGGAAAAGGUAAGUCGAGUGUGAAGUCUGGUAAAAGAAAGGUGGAAACUGCAAGGGAACCCAAAUCUGCAAAGAGAGUGAAACAUGAAAGUAUGUCUGGUAAAGAAAGGUUGAGGUACCAAAAGGUUUUGUGGGGUCGCACUUUUGACCCAAAAAUAUCUGAGAUGGCUGGUAUGAGGCAAAUAGUAGAUAUGGUCAAAUUUCAACAGUGGGGACAUCUGUUCAAAGUAGAUGUACCCAAGGUCUAUAAGGAUGAGGUCCAAAAUUUCUAUGCAGACCUCUUUACUGUUGAAUCUAACCAUAUCUAUGCUCUGGUCAAUGGAGUUGAUAUUGUUUUGGAUGCUGCUCUGCUUGGAGACAUACUUAAAGUUCUUGCUUAUGGUAUGUCCUCUUAAAGGAUGUGUGUGGCUCAAAUUUUAGACAUGCUAUUGUACAGGAGGGAGCAGUUCAGCAUGGGGAAUGGGUGCAUAAGAAAGCUCUGCUUCCUAUUUAUCAGCUCUUGUUUGAGUUGGUAAACAAGGUCUUUCUACCUCGUGCUGAGAGGAGAUCUAUCACUUCCAAGUCUGAUCUGUAUUUGAUGGAAGUACUGGAUGGGUUCCGAUCUGUUAGUCUGCCAGCCAUAAUGAUUAACCACAUGCAAAAGGUGGAAACUUUCAAAGAUGGAAACCAUGGUCUUCCUUAUGGAUUUCUUCUUACGCAUGUUUUCAAGUUCUUUGAUGUGUCUUUGGGAUAGCCCAAGAUAGGGACCAAGAAGCAGACCUUCUCUCAAACCACUUUGGAGGAAUGUGAAUGUGUUGAAAAAGGUGGAGGGGUAGGAAGCACUUCAACAAUCUCUCAGCUUAUCAAUACCUAGAAUAGUGCUACUGAGGAGAUCAGAAAGUUGAAGGCAAGGAAUGCCAUUUUGGAGAAUCAGCAGGCUCAAGAGGCACCAGGGUCAAAUGCAGAGAUUGCUCGUCUGACCAAAGAAAAUGUUGAUCUCAGGCAACAGGUUGAGAACCUGAAGGAGAAACUGCUCGCAGAGCAAAUGUCGGCCAAUGCUCGAAUUGAUCUCGUUCUCAACACUCUUGCUACAGCUUCUAAGCCCUCUUCCUCUAGUGUCCCCUAGGCAAAUCCUUCAGUGACCCAUUUAGUUAACCUCUUUUGAUGUGAUGACUUGUGGUAGUUGUUUUUGUUUUCUUUUUUUUUGGUAUGGAUGGAAUCCACCUGCACUUCUCCCGCUGUUAACAGUCCAAAUUUUCCAUUGCUUUAAUGGCAAAGGCUUAUGUUUUAUAAAUAUUAAUGAAAACUCGCCUCUUUUGCUAUAACCGCUUAUGUUUCUCUACUUCUCUUCUCUAUCAUGUGGUGUACACAUAGGUGGCAUGUGUUAGCUAGGCUGGACUUCUUUAUGCUGAUUGCUUGCUUGUGUAUUUUUAAUGAUGCCAAAAGGGAGAAGUAUAAUUGAAACAGGGUUGAAACAGGGAUCUGAUUAAGGGGGAAGUAUAAAGUUAGGGGGAACUUAUGAAGUUCCUGUUGCUUCAUCUGGUUUAUUUUUCUCUGAAAAUGGGUUAUCAAUUUCUAAGUUUGUCAUCAUCAAAAAGGAAAAAAUUGAUGGGUUUAUAGUACCUUAGCUUUAUAUUUUGAUGAUCUAACAAAUUUACUGUCAAAGAACCAGAUAAGGGACCUGACACACUUGGUACACAACUCAAUCAACGGACUCGAGCUAAUAUGAGUUGCUAUGACUUUAGAAGAAAAAGAAUUAACAUAGCGACCUGAUCCCCUUGUAUUUCCCUGACAGCAGUACGAAGUCAACUGUCUACAGCUGGAAAGUGAUUGCCUGCACUGUACACGCAAACAGUGCAGCACAAUACUGCAAACACUCCCCUUUGACUAACCAAGUGAUUACAUCAUUUAAGUAAUGUCAUCCAAGUUGUAUUAACAAGUUUAUUACAACAAAACAUCACUUGAACAUUUGAGAAUUCGUUCAAGCUCUUCAACCGUAACUCGAUCAAGCAUUCAAUUCUCAAGUGCAUCAAGAACAAAGUACAAUGCUGUUAUGGACCAGUUCCUAAAGCUAGUCUCUUGUAUGUCCUUAGUUGAGUUGUAACUUUGUAAUUGUUCUUUAUUGUAAUUCCUACUUUGCUUAUUGAUAACUAGGGAUUCUAGCCUAUUUUAUGCUCCUUUUUUCUUAGGUUUUGGAUUAAAAGUGUGUACAAGUAUUCCUGAAAGCUAACUUAUUGUGCUUGUUUGCAGUGUUUGGUUAAAAAGAGACAAGAAAGUCAAAACUAGCUCAUAAAGGAGUAAAACCUGCACAAGUUCAAAGCUUAGUCAAAAGGGAGUUGACAGCGCAGAAAUAGACGCGGACGUGGAGGGUCCACCGCUGAGGCGGUCUUGAUUACGCUCUCAGCGGUGACAAGGUUACGAGAGUUGUAUUUUGGGCUUAACAAGUUACCGCUACCCACGGUGAAAUUGCAUGGCAGUAGUGUCUCUGACGCGGCCGCGGUCAAGUUCUCACUUUCAGCGGAAGUGAGAAUCGGAGAACUAAGUCUGGAGCUCAAAUUGAAGACCGCGGUCCGCGCUCAUAUUUCGAAGCCACGGUUGGAGGAACGAUAAGGCGGUAGUUUUUCUGCUCCUAGCAGACUCAAGUUUAGAACCAGCCAACAAGAGAAGAACUGCGGUCCGGGCAUGCUUUUGCGUGGCCGUGGUAGUCCAAGUGCUGAGGCGGCCCAUUUUCCGCUGUCAGUGAAAUCUCCGUAGGGGCAAUUUUGUCCAAAAAAUUUAGCUGUGUAUAAAUAUAUUUUUUUUCCAGAUUUUUAGGUCAUCUGUUGUUUUAGAGAGCAUGUGAAAAGCCGUUUUUAGCCUUUUUGAGUAAUUUUAGAACAUCUUUAGCAAUUAAUCUUAGAUUUUAAUCUUGUAAUUACUUUUCAUGGCUUAUAUUUCAUCUCCAUCUUUGAUUUCUUCUUUGAUUAUGAGUAGCUAAACCUAUUAGCUAGGGUUGUGCCCCAACCCUAGUGUGGGUAUUUAAUGGGUCUUUAAUUUUAGGGAUUAAAUAUUUAUGGGUUAAUGAUAUUUAACUUGAUUUAUACUUUAAUUGUUGAAUUGGUUGUUGCAAACACUGAUUUGUGCCUUUUUGACUUAGGCUCUUCUUGAGAAAGAGAGGUUAAGUCUAGGAAAUUCAGGCUAACAAGGAAUUAGUGAGAAUUCAAGAGAUUGAUAGCCCCAAUUAAAGGGUUAAACCUAGAGAUAGUAAUAUCUGACUUGAGCCAAUUUUGCUUGCAUUGUUUAAACACCCAAUUGGGCUUGAGAGAGCCAAUUAGGGCAAAGUCACUCAAACUACCGAGAGGUAUAGAGUGAUCAACUAUGUGCAAUGGUUAUAUCAUGAUUCCACUCACAAUAAUUUUUCCCUAAGGUUUAGACCCCGUUAGAUAUCCACCUAGGUGUAAGUAACUUCCCUAGUGCCUUUAUAACAAUUGAGAAAACUUUACAAAAAUAUCAUGCUUAGCUUAUUUUCAUUCUUCAUUAGUGAUUAAAAGUAGAAUAGUAACCAAAACAAAGCAUGAUUAGAAGUGUAAUUAAGAACAUCGCACAUAGCUAGAUUAGAUAGGAACCCAAUUCGAAAUCAAUAUUAUCUCUCUGUGGAUUCGAUCCUGACUUUUCGGGUAAAAGCUGCAUCGACCGUGCUUGCCAUUCUAUAGUGGCAUAGGGUUGGAGCCGAUCACUUUUUGGCUCCGUUGUCGGGGAGGUAAGCGGUUUUGGCUAUCUAACUGAUAGUUUUGUGUCUUGUUAUUCUUUCCUUGUGUUUUACAAAUUUUGUGCGUCAAUUGCUUCAGGUACAAAAUGGCAAACAAUGAUACUCUUGGAAAUGUUCUCCCGGUGGAGGAGGUAGAUGAUAACGGUGAAGAUGAGGUGCCUUUAGUAGCUCAAGGACAAAGAAGAGGCCUCUAGGUCAAUGAAAACAUUCUAGACCCUUCCCCAGCUCCUCCAAGAGUCGCUCCUCGGAUGCUUCCAAAUGAAGGAUAUGCAAGUGCAAUUGUCCCACCCCGGAUCCGGCCGGGCAAUUUCCAAAUUACAAAUGUGAUGUUGACUGUAUUAGAGUAGUGAGGGUACUUUACAGGCGCUCCCUAUCAGAAUGCAUAAAAACAUCUUAAAGGCUUUGUGGAUACCUGCUGGGGAAGCAAACAGACCAAUGUGUCGGAGGAUGCAUUGAGAUUGAGAUUGUUCCCUUUCUCACUUAAAGGGAAAGCUUUGGACUGGCUCAAAAGGCUUCCCAAUCAUUCCAUCACUACGUGGGAUGAGUUGGCAGACAAGUUUAUAGCUAAGUUUGUUUUGUCGGGACAUAUGGCGACAUUGAGAGAUGAGCUUUUGGCCUUCAAACAGGAACCUAAUGAACCACUUCAUGAGAUCUAGGAGAGAUAGCGGACAAUAGUGAAAGAAUGUCCAAACAAUGACAUGACCGAAGCAAUAAUCCAGCGGACAUUCUACCAUGGCAUUAACACGAUCAAUCAGUGUGUAGUGAACCAGCUAGUAGGGGGNNNNNNNNNNNNNNNNNNNNNNNNNNNNNNNNNNNNNNNNNNNNNNNNNNNNNNNNNNNNNNNNNNNNNNNNNNNNNNNNNNNNNNNNNNNNNNNNNNNNNNNNNNNNNNNNNNNNNNNNNNNNNNNNNNNNNNNNNNNNNNNNNNNNNNNNNNNNNNNNNNNNNNNNNNNNNNNNNNNNNNNNNNNNNNNNNNNNNNNNNNNNNNNNNNNNNNNNNNNNNNNNNNNNNNNNNNNNNNNNNNNNNNNNNNNNNNNNNNNNNNNNNNNNNNNNNNNNNNNNNNNNNNNNNNNNNNNNNNNNNNNNNNNNNNNNNNNNNNNNNNNNNNNNNNNNNNNNNNNNNNNNNNNNNNNNNNNNNNNNNNNNNNNNNNNNNNNNNNNNNNNNNNNNNNNNNNNNNNNNNNNNNNNNNNNNNNNNNNNNNNNNNNNNNNNNNNNNNNNNNNNNNNNNNNNNNNNNNNNNNNNNNNNNNNNNNNNNNNNNNNNNNNNNNNNNNNNNNNNNNNNNNNNNNNNNNNNNNNNNNNNNNNNNNNNNNNNNNNNNNNNNNNNNNNNNNNNNNNNNNNNNNNNNNNNNNNNNNNNNNNNNNNNNNNNNNNNNNNNNNNNNNNNNNNNNNNNNNNNNNNNNNNNNNNNNNNNNNNNNNNNNNNNNNNNNNNNNNNNNNNNNNNNNNNNNNAGAUACUUCCUCAACUUGGCAAAGUUGAGCUAAUGUGCCACAGGGUGAUCCCACUGUCAUUCACCUGCAUAAAGAGCUCCACGACCAUGGCUAGGCAAUAGCAGAGUUAACUACAACAAUGAACCAAUUGGCAAAAGCUCAAUUGCAACAAGUUCAAGCGCCGAGACAAGUAAAUGCUAUGGAAGGUGUCAACAUGUUGGUCAACAAGUGGCGACAAAAAGGUCAAUAAGGUCAAGGUAGUCCGGAUCAAUAUGAGUAGGGUAACAGUGGUUUCAACCAAGAUGAGGGGUAUGCUGAGCAAAGUGAAGAAGUCCAGUACGUGAACAAUUACCAAGGACAAAGGGGAAAUGCUCCUAACCAACAACAACAGUGGAGAUCCCAAGGAAACUAGGGGAAUCAAAACCAACAGGGAAAUAGCAACUAGGGGAACAACAAUUAGAAUUGGGGUAAUCAGAAUAACCAGGGCAACUGGAGUGGCAACAACAACAAUUGGGGAGGAAACAACAACCAGCGGGGGUGGAAUAAUAGAACUCAAGGAAAUCAGGGGCAAGACUUUCAAAGACCUCCUAUGUAUCAACAACCAAACAACCUGCCUCUAUUUCCAUCGCAAGGUCCUAGCUCGUCAAAUAAUGAGAUGGGAAGGAUCGAGAUGAUGUUUGAACAAAUGAUGAAAAGAAUGUCGACUCUUAUGCCCAGUUGGCAUCCCAUAAUACUUUAAUACGAAACUUGGAGGUUCAAUUUGGCCAAAUUUUGCAAUCUUUGAACACUCGCCUUAAGGGGGCUCUACCUAGUGAUACGGUACUAAACCCAAAGAGUGGGAACAACACCGGUCAUGCAAUGGUGGUGAUCACUAGAAACGGUCGAGGUGGUGAUGUGAAUACAUCCAAGCAAAAGGAAGUUGUGAGUGAUGAGGUUGAAGUGCAUGAUGAUGAUGUUCCUAUAGUUGAUGAGCAAGUGAGUGAAGAGAAUUUGAAUGCGGAAGUGAGAAUUGAUAUUCAUGAUAAUAAGGUGGAGACUCAAGAUGACGUGAACCCGUCUAGGGAACACGUAAUAGAUAAACCGGAAACAAUAGUGCCCAAGGAUAAGGCUCCCUUACCAAGGAUUCCUCCACCUUACCCUCAAAGACUUGCGAAGCAAAAUAAUGAAAACCAAUUUAAAAAGUUUAUUGAGAUGAUGAAAAACAUGUCAAUCAAUGUUCCUUUGGUGAAAGCUCUUGAGCAAAUGCUGGGUUACGCUAAGUUUAUGAAAGACUUGGUGACUAAAAAAAGAUCUAUGGAUUGUGAGACCAUCAAAAUGACUCAUCAAGUAAGUGCAAUUUUGCACUCGAUGGCUCCAAAGGUUGAAGAUCCCGGCGCUUUCACCAUUCCAUGUACCAUUGGGAGUGUGGAUUUUGCAAAGGCAUUGCGUAAUUUGGGAUCAAGUAUCAAUUUAAUGCCUUACUCCGUGUUAAGAACUUUAGGUAUUGGUCAACCUAGAGCUACUUCAAUGAGAUUGCAAAUGGUGGAUAGAACAAUAAAGAGGCUGCUUGGUAUUAUUGAUGAUGUUCUUGUCCGGUGGACAAGUUUAUUUUUCAUGUUGACUUUGUGAUUCUGGACUGCGAAGUAUACUAUGAGGUGCUGAUAAUAUUGGGAAGACCUUUCCUAGCAAUAGGGAAGGCAUUGGUUGACAUGGAAGCAGGGGAGAUCACCUUCCGGGUAGGUGACGAAAAAGUUAUCUUUCAUGUGUGCAAAUCAAUGAGGCAGUCGAUUAGUACUGAAGUUUGCUCUUUUGUUGGAUCUUGUCACGGAGGUGAUAGUUGAUAAUACUAGUGCCAUGGACAAUGUGGAGGAUCCUUUAGAAGUAGUAUUUUUUAACCUUGAUGUAAAUGAAGAUGAAGGUCGGGUGGAGUGUGUCAAUGCUUUGCAUGGAAUGGGCUCUAACUCUUAUGAGCCUCGUAAGCUCUCUUUGGAUUUUGAGAACAAAAAGACUCCCCCAACAAAGCCCUUAAUUGAGAAACCUCCCAUUUUGGAAUUGAAGCCUUUGCCCUUACACCUCAGGUAUGAAUUCUUAGGCCCUAGUUUAACUAUACCUAUUAUUCUUUUGUCUUGUCUUACUAAUGUGCAGGUAGAUGUAACACUGGAGGUGCUCCAAAGAAGAAAGAAAGCAAUUGGAUCGUCUCUCUAGCUGAUAUUCGGGGAAUAAGCCCCGCCUUUUGCAUGCACAAGAUUAUACUUGAAGAUGAUGCCAAGCCCUCCGUGGAACGUCAAAGGAGGUUGAACGAGGCUAUGCAAGAGGUUGUCAAAAAAGAGAUGAUCAAGUGGUUAAAUGUAGGGUUUGUAUACCCCAUCUCGGAUAGUUCUUGGACUUCUCCAGUGCAAUGUGUGCCGAAGAAGGGUGGUAUGAAUGUGGUCACCAAUGAGCAAAAUAAGUUGAUUCCUACCAGGACUGUCACCGGAUGGAGGGUGUGCAUGGACUACCGCAAGCUAAAUAAAGUGACCCGCAAAGAUCAUUUUUCAUUGCCCUUUCUUGACCAGAUGCUAGAUAGACUUGAUGGGCAUGCCUUCUACUAUUUUCUGGAUGGGUACUCAUGUUACAACUACAUUUUCAUUGCUCCGGAAGAUUAGGAGAAAACUACAUUCACGUGUUCAUAUGGCACAUUUGCAUUUCCUAGGAUGCCAUUUGGUUUAUGUAACGCAUCGGCUACCUUCCAGAGGUGUAUGAUAGCUAUAUUUACUGACAUGGUGGAGGACUUCUUAGAAGUGUUCAUGGAUUAUUUCAAUGUUGUAAGUGACUCCUUUGAUGAGUGUUUUAAGAAUCUUGACAAAGUGCUAGCCUAGUGUGAAGAGACAAAUCUUGUGCUUAACUGGAAAAAAUGUCACUUUAUGGUCAAGGAGGGCAUUCUCCUCGACCAUAAGAUCUCAAAGAACGGAAUAGAGGUGGAUAAGGUGAAAAUUGAAGUGAUUUCAAAGCUUCCUCCUCCUACUUCAAUCAAGGGGGUAAGGAGUUUUCUUGGGCAUGCGGGAUUCUACCGAAGAAUCAUCAAAGACUUUUCUAAGGUAGUGAAUCCUUUGUGCAAAUUAUUGGAAAAGGAUGCCAAGUUCAUGUUUAAUGAGUAAUGCAUGAAAGCGUUUGAACUUCUCAAGUACAAAUUGACAACAGUCCCAUUAAUAUCGCACCCAAUUGUAGCUUACCUUUUGAGCUCAUGUGUGAUACAAGUGAUGUUGUGGUAGGAGCGAUCCUGGGUCAAAGAGUAAACAAGAUGUUUCAUCCGGUGUGUUAUGCAAGCAAAACAAUGAAUGAUGCUCAGGUUAAUUACACGGUGACGGAAAAAGAGUUGUUAGCAAUUGUGUUUGCAAUGGAGAAGUUUAGGCCUUAUCUCAUGGGUGUCAAGGUGAUAGUUCAUACUGAGCAUGCAACACUCUGCUACUUGAUGACAAAGAAGGAUUCUAAGGCUCGGUUGAUGAGAUGGGUUCUAUUGCUUCAAGAGUUUGACCUUCAGAUUGUUGAUCGAAAAUAGAGUGAAAAACCAAGUGGCGGACCGCUUGUCCCACUUGGAGGAGGAGGGGAGGCCCCGUAUGGCCUCGAAAUUAAUGAAUCAUUCCCUGAUAAGCAACUCCUCUCUGUAUCUGUGAAUAGCAUGCCAUGGUUCACGGAUGUUUCCAACUUUCUUAUGACUGGUAUUGUUCCGCGUGAGCUCUCUUCUAACCAAAGGAAUAAGCUUAAACAGGAUAGCUUGGACUACUACUGGGAUGAGCCUUACUUGUUCAAAAUCUGUAAUGAUGGUGUGAUUCGGAGAUGUGUUCUGGAAGAGGAGCAAAUGAGUAUUCUGGAUGCUUGACAUUCCUCUCCCUACGGUGGUCAUCAUGGUGGGGCGAGGACAGCUUCAAAGGUGUUUAGCUGUGGUUUUUAUUGGCCUACAUUGUACAAGGAUGCGGGUGAGCUUGUGAUGAGUGUUAGGGAGCAGGUGGAAUUUCAAAGAAGGAUAAAAUGCCUCUCACCACUAUUCUUGAGGUUGACAUAUUUGAUGUGUGGGGCAUUGACUUUAUGGGACCUUUUGUGAUUUCACGUGGCAACACAUACAUUUUGGUGGCUGUUGAUUAUAUUUCCAAAUGGGUUGAGGUCGUGACUUUACCCAACAACGAGGCCCAGAGUGUUGUGGGUUUUCUCAAGAAGAAUAUUUUUACUCGAUUUGGACUCCUAGAGCAACCAUCAGUGAUGGGGGUUCUUAUUUCUGCAAUAAGGCAUUUGACACUUUGCUUACAAAGUAUGGUGUCAAUCACAAGGUUUCAACCCCUUACCAUCCUCAGGCUAGUGGGCAAGUUGAGGUUUCCAACACGGAGAUUAAGAGAAUAUUGUCAAAGAUUGUCAAUGCAAAUAGGACUGAUUGGUCAAAGAAAUUGGAUGAUGCUUUGUGGGCUUACAGGACUGCUUACAAGACUCUGAUUGUAUGUCUCUGUACCACUUGGUAUUUGGGAAAGCAUGCCAUCUCCCAGUUGAGUUAGAGCACAAAGCCAUGUGGGCUUUUAGAAAGUUAAAUCUUGAAUGGGAUGUUGCAGCAGAUCUCUGGGUAGAGCAACUCAAUGAGCUUGAUGAGUUCCGAUUUUAUGCCUAUUCCAGCUCAUCCUUAUAUAAGGAAAAGAUGAAGUACUUACAUGACAAUUAUUCUCGUAGCAAGGAAUUCAAGGAAGGUAACUUGGUUCUCUUAUUCAACUCCCGGUUACGACUGUUCCCGAGAAAGCUCAAGUCAAAAUGGAGUGGACCUUUUGAGGUGGUGCUUGCAACUCUAUUUGGUGCUCUUGAUUUGAAAAACAAAAAUAGUGAAAUCUUUAGAGUUAAUGGGCACAGAGUGAAGCACUAUCUUGGAAAGUUUGAUGACACCCACGUGGUGGCAAUAAACCAUCUCAAAUAAUUGAUGGUAACCUGCGUCGUGCCGCGAUGUUAAAUCAGACGCUUCUUGGGAGGCAACCCAUGUGUUUGGGAGGCAACCCAUGUGUUUUUCUUUUUUUUGAUUUUCUUCUUAGUGUAGGAUUUGUUUUGAACUAACUGGUUGUGAGAUGUGUGAAGUAAUGUUUGAUGCAGUGCAGGACUAAGCUGGAAAAUUUUUGCAAUAGUCUGAAGUUGGACCGCUGACAAUGCUCCAUUUUCUGCGGCCAGCGGUGGCCGUAUUGUGGAGGCAUGAUUUGAUGGCAGAUGCGGGAUUGAAAAAUUUGAAAAGAGACUUCUUUGAAGUUUCAUCCGCAUCCGCGAUGCAUUUUUCGCGGUCAGCGGUGCCUGUCCGUGGACGCAUGCCAUUUUCCACUCUCAGCGGAGGUUUUAAACAUGCAGCCCUUCUGUUUGUCGAUAGCAUAGACCAUGGUGAUUUUUCGCGGCCGCGCCAGGUGAGUUUUGUAGGGCACAAGGUGUUUUCUAUAAAUAUGAGAUCAUGAAGCUUUUUACCCUUUUCGAUCUUUUCUCUCUCAAAGCAAAAAAUUUCGUUGUUCAUCUGAGCCCUAAUCUGCACAAACACAAGAUUAAAGUUUAUUCUCAUCACUCAUUACACAUCUGGUAAUCUCACUUCCUAAUUGUUCUUUGAUUUGUACUUAUUUUUCUUUUAUCUAUUAGUUUUUAUCUCUUCUCCCUCUUUUUCGUUUAAUUUUAACUUAGGGUUCCUUAGUGUUAAUUAAAUUAGGCUCAAAUAGUUAAGGUUGAUUAAUUAAUAGCUAGUUGGGGUUAACAUGUAGAUGAUAUUGCUAAAUACAUGAAAAAUUUGAAACCCUAGGUUGACUCUGCCGAGCUACUGUGGGAACAAUUAGAGAACUUAAUUCCCUAUACUGACUGGUUUUACAGUCUGUUGCUUACAGUUGAAACUUAUAAAGAAUAUGGUUCUCUAUACAGUGGGAACUUAUCAUGUGUAUCAUUUACAUACUUGUUUAGUAGUUAGCACUGUACCAAACUGAUAUAGGACUAGAUCGCUAUACAGUUUGGUCCAUUAGUAUUUUCAAAGGAAACUCAUAGAGAACCAGGUUCUCUAUACAGUCUGGUGAAAGCUAAGUUUCUAACAAUUGGUAUCAGAGCAGGUUCUUUCUAAAAAUUUAACACCUAGAAAGGAUCUACAUGGCUGCUCCAUCAUAUUUCGAGGAAGGACAAUCAACGUACAGACCACCAAGAUUCAACGGCCAAUACUAUGGUUGGUGGAAAACAAGAAUGCAUGACUUCAUUAUGGCUGAGGACUCAGAGCUGUGGGAUGUAAUCUAUGAUGGACCUUUUGUUCCCAUGAAAACUGGUGGUGAGGGAACAGUUACAAUCCCAAAAACAAGAAAAUAGUACAACGAUGCUGAUAGAAAGGCUAUUGAGAAGAAUUUUAGGGCAAAUAAGAUUCUUGUUUGUGGCAUCGGACCACAUGAGUACAAAAACAUCGCAACUUGUCAGUCUGCUAAGGAGAUUUGGGAAGCUCUUCAAACUGCCCAUGAGGGAACUACUCAGGUUAAGCAAUCCAAAAUUGAUAUUCUUACUACUAAGUAUGAGUUUUUUGAGAUGAAAGAGGAUGAGUAUAUUCAAUAUAUGCACACACGUUUCACCUCCAUUAUCAAUGAGCUUCACUCCCUUGGUGAAGUCAUCCCAAGAAACAAGUUAGUACAGAAAAUACUCAGUGUUUUACCCAGUUCUUGGGAAAGUAAAGUAAAUGCUAUCACUAAAGCUAAGGAUUUGCAGAAGCUGACCAUUGAUGAACUCAUUGGAAAUCAUAAACUUAUGAGAUGAAGAGAAAGAAAGAUCUUGAAAGAAGAUAGCCCAAGAAGGAGAAGAACCUAGUUCUCAAGGCUGCCAAUAGAGACUCAAGUAGUGAUGAAUCCGACAUGGAGUAUCUCACUCGAAGAUUCUAAAAGAUGAUUCGAAAAAAUCCUGGGAUUCCAAAGAAAAGGAGUUCCAGCAGAAAUUUCGAAGAAAAUGAUUGCUGCCAUAAGUGUGGACAGUUUGGACACUUCAUUAAAGAUUGUCAUCUUCAUAUGUAGGAUCAUUACAAAACCAACACUGAAAAGGUCACUAAAAGGAACCAGGUCCCUGACAGAAAGUUCAAAAGAAGAGAUGUUGCUAACAAUCAUGUUGAAGCAAGCCUUGGUUGAUUGCGAAAAUUCCUCUAGUGAAUCUGAAGGUGAAAAUAUGAUGGUUGCUGACAAUGGAUCUUCAGAAUAUGAGUCAAUCUUUGCACUCAUGGCCAAAUCUGAUGAUGAUGAGGACAAGGAGGAAGAUGAGGUAAGUUUUCUUGAUGUUCAAAGAAAUUUGAAAACUUACUCUAAGAAAAAAUUGAUGUUUUUAGCAAAUGUGUUGAUUGAUGCCUAUCGCAGGCUCAUUAAUGAGAAGAAUUCUUUAAUAGAAUAAAUUGGUGGCAUUGAACAAGAGAAGGAUUAUAUGGGAGUUUCCAUUUUAGACUUAGAGGAAACCAUUGAGAGUAUGAAGAAAGAAAAAGAGGUUUUAACUGAGAGUAAUGUUAACAUUGAGCACGAGAGAGAUGACCUAUUGGUGGUAGUUGUAAACUUAAAGGAAACAAUUGGGGAACUUAAAAUGAAAAGUAGUCCUGAGAAUUCUCAAAAGGGAAAGGAAGUUGCAAGUGAGGCACACAUUAAGCUUGAAAGUGAGUUAAAUUCAGUGAAGUCUAGUUUGUGUGCUGAGCUUGAGAGAAACAAACAACUUCAGGAAGAACUAGGAAGAGUAAAAAGUGAUCUUGAAAAAUCACUUGAUGGACCUCAUCCUCUAAUGAAAUCACUGCCUUGUACACCAACAAUAGGGGAAAUAGGGAGGGAAUCAGGUUUCAAAGGGAAAAGACUCCCUACAACCCUUAUAGCAAGUAUGUUACUGUACCUGACAAUUGGUUUUGCACUCACUGUGGCAACACGGGGCACUUUAAAGAAAUUGUAAGGUCAGAAUUCAGUCUCAACAGAAAAAUAAAAUUUCUGCUGAAAAGGUAAUUGCUGCUACGGAACCUGGUCCUUCACAUAAAAAACGUAUAAUGCUUGUUUGGACCAAAAGAGCCCUCAUUCACCCCUUUUCUCAUUGCAAGGACUCCUGUAAAGUUAAAAUUCAGUCGUUGCAGAACAAUAAAGUUUUUAUUAAAAAGAGGCAUAUUGAUGAGGAACCUGGUUCCCAGAAAAGAAAAUAUGUGAUGCCUGCAUGGGAAAAAAGAAGUUUGAUCCACCCGUUCUAUCAUUAUAAGGGACCCAAACUCGUUGGUUCCUAAGUCUAACUCCUAAUUUUCUUGUGCAUGGAAAAGUGAAAGGGAGUAGCCUACAAUGGUACAUGGAUAGCGGUUGCUCAAAGCAUAUGACUGGAAGUAAAAAUGAUUCUCCUUUCACUUAAGGCCCUGCAAUGAGAGAGUGUACCCUUUGGAAAUAGCUAUAAGGGGUACACUCUAGGAGUAAGAAGGAUUGGGAAGUCACUCACUCAAUUGAGAAUGUGUACUAUGUCAAUGGCCUGAAGUACAGUCUCUUGAGUGUUUCUCAUAUAUGUGACAAGGGAAAUAAAGUGGAAUUGGUAUCAAAAGAUACAAGAAUGUUUACAUUGCUGAUUUUAAGUCCCUGCACGGUGGUGAUCUAACAUGCCUAAGUGUCGUUGACGAUAUGCUGAGUUAUGGUGGAGAUGACUGGGCAUGUGAGUUCUACUUGUUGAACAAAUUGGUUAUGGAGUACCUGGUUCAUGGGUUGAAGCAGUCAACACUGCUUGCUACUUGAUUAACAUGUGCAUGAUCAGGUCCCUUCUCAAGAAGUCUCUCUAUGAACUGCUUAAUGGGAGAAAAGCCAAGUUGACUUACCCGAGAGCCUUUAAAUGGAAAAUGUGUUGCUAUCAAAAAUGGUGGCAAAAGGGGCACAAAACAAAAAAGAUAAAUAUGGAGAAUUCAGAAAGGCUCCUGGUGAAGCUAUAGAUAUUGCAAAUGGAAAGAAUGAUUUGAUGAGUCAAGUCAAGCAGAAAGAUGAAGGAGAUGCAGUAGAAUCUCCAAAAGGCACAGAGGAACCUGGUCCUUCAAAUUCUAAAGUUCAAGUAUCCAACUAGAAGCAAAGUAGUUCACAUCCUUCAAAAUGUAAUCACAUUCUUAGACUCUGGUAUCCAACCUAGUUCUAAGAAAGAGCGUUUCUGGAACGGCACACUUUCUGGGUUCAUGCUUGAUCUCAUGGGGUACAAAGAAACAAACAAUGUGACUCUUUCUAUUGCUGAAGCUGAAUAUGUGGUUGCUGCUCUGUGUUGUGCUCAACUGUUACAGAUCAAGCAUCAUCUUGAAGACUUUGGUGAAUUUAUAGCUUGAACCCGGUACAACACAAGAGGACAAAGUGCAGUGACGUGUACAUCACUUUUGAGGGAUAAUGUUGAAAAGGUUCUGAUUUGUGUGAAGUUAUAGAAGACGAAGGAUUGGGUAACAAACAUCUUCACCAAGUCACUGAGCAUGGAACAUUUUGAAAGAAAUGGUCUAGAGUUGGGGUUGAUCAAGCUCAACUAAGGACCUGGUCCCUCGAUGAUUGGCUAUGUUAAGAAGGAAAGGUACAAUGCUAAAAGGUAUUUUUCGGUGACAUCUAACUCAAAUCUAUACUAUUACAAGUAUAAACAUAUGGCAGUUUCAGGAUAAAAACAAGUAAGAGUGACAUUGCACUUCUAGGAGUCUUUGCUCAAAAGUUUCAAAAACCGUCACGGAAUCUGGUUCCUAUGACUCAGGUUAGUAGUCUCUUCAAUACUUAUAUGCCUUUUUAAGCUGCUGAAGUGUCAUGUCAUUAAUUUUUUUCUACCUUUCUCCUGCCUCUCCUCCUAACUCUUGAAGUCCAAAAUGUUAAAACCUUUUCUGAACUGACUCGUUGCCCCAAAAAGGCACCUCUCUAUCUUACACCCAAAUAAAACUAAUUCUUUUCUUCAAAACCAAAAUCAAACUUGUCUCGAAAUAAUCCUUCUUCCCAAAUAUGCCAGAAGUGAACCUAAAUCUCUCACUUUCCAAAAAACCUAACUCCAUCAGAAUCAAAACCCCAAGAAUUCUUUGGUAGAUUUUGAUGGAUGCUCAACUGAAAAGGAACAGGGUAGAUCUAAUAUUCUAAAUCGUGAGGCUAAAAUUGUUGAUGGUUUUGUAGAAGCCUUGAAGGAUGGAGGAAUUGAUGAAUGUGCUGAAAAAGAGGGGAACUGAAUAAGGGACCUGGUCCCUAAAAUCCUUCUUAGGAUGUUAAUUCUAAUGAUGAUCUUUUUCUCUUGGGUUUUGUGCUUAAAUGAACCUAAUAAUCUAGUAAAAAGUAUUGAGAAAAGUAGGCUGAUUGAUGAUGAAGUGGUGUAACUUGCUGAUGUGGUGAUUGUGGAAGAGAGGAUAAAGUGGAAGAAUCUCAAUUUGUGAAAAAUAAAAGAUAAAAAAAUAAAUAAAUAAAUAAAUGGAGAAAAGAAAGUUGGCUGAGAAAGAUGCAACAGUUGAUAAGGGUGAACGGAUUGAGAAGAGAAAGAGGGAGAAAUGGCAACUCAAGGAUAGAAAGGAUAGUGUAAUUGAGGAACCUGGUUCCUUAAAGAAGCAAAGGUUGAGUUAUCAGGUUUGGAGAGGUAGAAGACUCUGAAGUCUCAAAAAGUGUUGUUAGGCAGAGUGUUGACUCUGAUAUUGCUGAAAAAUGGAGGAACUUCUUGACAUUGUUGAGUUCAAAAAAUAGAAUCACCUCUUUGUUCCUCCAAGACCCAACAUUUAUGAAGAAGAAGUAAAAAGUUCUAUGUUUUAUGUGACACUCUAAUGCUAUAUGUGUAUGGGACUGAGUUUGUUCUUGAUGAGAAGAAGCUUGGGAGAUUCUUGGUGAUCUGAUUGAUGGUUCAACCUACUCAGAUAGGUUGAGCAUCAGGUUCUCAUAGACCCUCGGCAGAAUAGAAUGCUAAGUUAAAGGAUGAGAAUAAAAGAUUGAGGAAACAGGUGGAGGAACUGAGCGAGCAGAUGACCAUUGAUCAAAGGAGAGUAAAUGAACGAAUGGACAAGCUCAUCAAGGCCUUAGCCCCUUACUUUUCCUCCUGCCCAAUGAUCCAUGUCUUUCACUCCAUCCAAAUUCCAUUGAAUUCUUAUCUUCUUUUUAUCCCUAUAUUUGAUGACAUUGGUACUUCAGUUGCUUAAAUUGUCAUAUUAUGUAUUGUUGAAACUACUGUGAUUUUAUCAUAAUUACUCCACUAUGGGCAAUCACUCUAUUUUGUGCACUGACAUUCACUUGUUGUUCUUGUUAUUGUUUAUGUUGUGUUGCCCAAGUGGCCUGAGGUAAUGUUGUUGAACUUCUUUUUGGUGGUACUUCUUCUAUUAUUCUUUUCGAUGAUGCUAAAAGGGGGAAGUUAUAUAGGUGUCAACAUGGGGGAGGAACAGAAGUGUCAAUAUGGGGGAGGAAUAGAAUCGAAUUGAUAUGUUGUGUUGUGCAUGAAAGAUGGAUCUGCUUCGUAGGGGGAAUGUUGCUGAUGGCUCUGCUUCAUAGGGGAAAUGUGCUGAUGAUAGGUCUGAUCCGCAGGGAAACAUGUGAGGAAUCUGGUUCCCAAGAGGAACAAUAAUUUUGGGUUUAUCAUCAUCAAAAGGGGGAAAUUGAUCUAAGUUACUCUAUGUCAUGUUUUGAUAAUGACAAAUGUUUUCAACAUACUAGGUACGGACCAGAUGUGAUCAGUGCAGAUAAGGAACCUGAUUCUCAGGGGGAUUCUGGGUUUGUCAUUCAUCAAAAGGGGGGAAACUUAUAAGUUAUGGUACUUUGAGUUUUGAUGAUUUGCCAAAUAGUCUUGAGGAACCAAUUGUGAUCAUCUCCUUAGGUUCGGUUCUCAUGGGGAAUAUUGUUGUUUCGUAUGGGGGAACAAUGUGGAGAUCUGGUUCUUAGGGGGGAUAUCAAUUCUAAGUUUGUUGUCAUCUAAAAGGGGAAAUUGAUAAGUUACAAGUACCUUGGGCAUAAGUACUUUACUUUAUGUUUUGAUGAUCUAACAAACUUACCAUCCAGAACCAGAUACGGAACCUAUUACACAUCUACAAGACCUUGAGAUCACAAAAUUCCAGGUUGGGAUCCAGCGUGGGAUAUAACUCAACUCUUUAGAGAGGAAGGAACAGCUGAGGAAACAGGUCCUUACCAGUUCCCGAGGAUACUGUAUGAAGUCAACUCUCCAGCAGGAAAGUUGCUGCCUGCACACGCUACUACACAGGAAUAGUGCAGCAGUCAACUUUUCUAUGGAAGGCUUUUACCUACCUUGCUUACAUCGUUGUAAGUGAUGUCAUACAAGUAUAAAUACAAUCAAGGAAGGUAAAAUAACUUACUUCAUGAGAGAACCAGAUAAAGGACCUGAAGCAUGCCUGGUACAAUCAUUCAAGUUAAUCGACUCAAAAUAAUUUGGGCAGUGUGCCUUUAGACUCACAAGAACCAGAUUAGGGACCUGAUACCUUGGUGUUCCCCUGACAUAAGUAUAAGUCAAUAGUACAGCUGGAAAGCAACUGCAGAAAGUGACUCCCUGCAACAGUGCAGCAGACAGUGCAGCAGUCACCUCCCAUUGGGAAGAGGCAUGUACUAGCCAAGAUUUGACAUCACUAAGGUGAUGCCUUUUGUAGUAUAAACCUUACGCAAGGCACAAUAUUCAGAUUCAAGGCUUGCAAAAUCAGAAAUGAAAAUCCUCCCUCAAGUGCAAGAACAACCUCUCUCAAGAACAAAGUUGUUUCAACCUCAAGGACUGGAUCCAAGAUUGAAUAUAUCUUAAGUCCUUAGGUUUGUUGAGUCUUUGUUAAUUGUUCUUUAUUGUAACUCCUAUCUUGCUUUCUUAGAAGCUAUUUUUAUGAAACCCACCUCUAAGUUUGUGUCUUGGCUAGAGUUAGUCGAGUUGUAAAAAAAAUUAACUAGAGAGUUACAAAGUGGCUUGUAAUAGUAUUAUUACAAGUUAGAGUGAUUAAAGUUUUUGUCACUAGAGAGUGAAAAAGUAGCUUGUGGUGAGAGUAUCAUAAGUUAGUCAAAGUCUUUGUAACUAGAGAGUCACAAAGUGGCUUAUGGUGAGAGUACCACAAGUUAGUUGAGUUGAAUCCUUUGUAAUAGAGUUAUUACAAAGUGGCUUGUAAUUGGGGUUUACAAGUUAGUGAAGUUGAAAGCCUAUAAGUGUAGGUCGUGGUUUUUGUCCCAUUAAUUUGGGAUUUUCCACAUAAAAAUCCUCUAUGUUCUUUACUUUCUACCGAGCUACUAUGGGAACAAUUAGAGAACCUGAUUCCCUAUACUGGCUGGUUUUACAGUCUGUUGCUUACAGUGGGAACUUAUAGAGAAUCUGGUUCUCUAUACAGUGGGAACUUAUCAUGUGUAUCAUUUAUAUACUUGUUCAGUAGUUAGCACUCUACCAAACUGAUAUAGGACCAGAUUGCUAUACGGUUUGGUUCAUUAGUAUUUUUAGAGAAAACUCAUAGAGAACCCGGUUCUCUAUACAGUCUGGUGGACGCUAAGUUACUAACAGUGUAAAUAGUAGCUAGUGAACAAUAGUGCCUCAACCAAAGCUUCACUUAGACCUAACACAUUUACCUUUGACCUUAUAGUUAAAAACAAAUUGAUAUGUAUAGGAUGGUGAAAGUUGUGACCUUGAGACUCUUGUGUUGACUAAAAAAUCAUCGAGUGAUUUCUCGGAACCAUUUGUGUUGCUCAAAUCUUAGCCAAGGUUGUUGUGGGCCCUCGACUCUGUCUGUUUAGCAAUCCUAUAGCUUGUGUGGUGAGGUAUUGAUUUUCAAGUCCAAGUCCCGUGCCAAAAAUUUAGAACUUGCCCUGAAUGUUUGUCUAGGCAAAAUCAUAAGUGUAGCUCGGCUUGAGAAGUGAGUAUAGGCUCUCAUUGAUCCUAAUUGAGACUUGAAAACAUCCAUAGCCCACCAAUGAUGAUAUCCCUAGUCAACCCCGUUUAGCCAUAGCCCUUAUUCUUUCAAAAACCGUGAUACAAGCCUUUAUCCGUUCUAAAAUGAUCCUCUCUUGGCACCCGAUCUUUCCUUAGUACAAGGCAAAAGCAUAAGUUUAGGGGGAGAGACGAGGAAUGCAAAAGUGAUAAAAGGUACAAAAUGAAGAAAAGGAAAGGUAAAAAGAAAAAGAAAGAAAAGCCAAAAAGUCAAAAAGAAAAUUAACAAUGUAGAAGAAAAGAAGGUAUUCAACAAAAGCAAAAGAUAAAAGGCUUGAAAAGAUUAGAAAGGAGAAAAAGGAUUUAAAUGAAUAAGAAAGAGUGGCAGUGUGUCUCUCUAUCCCCUAAGGAAGAAGUUAAUGACUCAAAGAGUCAAGAAAAUGUGAGCCAAAAUGAAGCAAAUGAAGUUCUUAAGGAAAGAUGAAACCUUCAUAGACCAAUAUAUCCUACCCCAUGACAAAAAGCCUUCAUUACAUUCCCGCAAAAGCCCUAUAUGAUCUUGAGUUGAGUGAGCUUACAUUAGUGGUGACUCACAUAAAGGGCAAGCUUAUGGUACUUAGAGCCGGACUUGUAACCUUCCUUUGAGAGAGAUGAGUGUGUUUUCCUCCAAUUUCGUGUUGAGUGCUACAAUCUAAAAGUGAGGUUUUCAUAUGGAGAGUCGAGGAGUAUGAGUUUGGGUCCCACAAUGACCAAAGUAGCAGAAAGUGUUUUCUUGAUAAGUUGAGUCAACUCUUGAUGCUUUUGUGCCGCACUAAAGCCAUGGUGCUAAAAAGGUUGUGUGUUGUUAAUAAUGCAUUUGAGUUGAGGAUAAUUAUUAGUCCCAAUUGAUGCUAGAUGAGGUCACUUUAGGACAGCUGAAAUUUUACUUCUUUUAUCUUGAGGAGGUGGUAAUUACUAUGUUUGCUUGAGGAAAAGCAAAAGCUUAAGUUUGGGGGAGUUGAUAACUAGGGAUUCUAGCCUAUUUUAUGCUCCUUUUUGCUUAGGUUUUGGAUUAAAAAUGUGUACAAGUAUAACUGAAAGCUAACUUAUUGUGCUUGCUUGCAGUAUUUGGUCAAAAAGAGAUAAGAAAGUCAAAACCAGCUCAUAAAGGAGUGAAACCUGCACAAGUUCAAAGCUGAGUCAAAAGGGCAUUGACAGCAAAGAAACAGACGUGGACGUGGAGGGUCCACCACUGAGGCGGUCUUGAUUACGCUCACAAUGGUGGCAAGGUUCAGAGAGUUGUAUUUAGGCUUAACAAGUUACCACUGCCCGCGGUGAAAUUGCGCGGCAUUGGUGUCUCUAACACGGCUGCGGUCAAGUUCUCGCCCUCAGGGGAAGUGAGAAUCAAAGAACUAAGUCUGGAGCUCAAAUUGAAGACCGCGGUCCACGCUCAUAUUUCGCGGCCGCAGUUGGAGAAGUGCUGAGGCGGUAGUUUUUCUACUCCCAGCGGACUCAAGUUUAGAACCAGCCAACAAGAGAAGAACUGCGGGUCCGCACUUGCUUUUGCGCGGCCGCGGUAGUCCAAGCGCUGAGGCGGCCCAUUUUCCACUGUCAGCGGAAUCUCCGUAGGGGCAAUUUUGUCCGAAAAAUUUAGCUGUGUAUAAAUAGUUCUUUUUCAAAUUGUAAGGUCAUAUGUUGUUUUAGAGACCACGUGAACAGCCAUUUUUAGCCUUUUUGAGUAAUUUUAGAACAUCUUUAGCAAUUAAUCUUAGAUUUUAAUCUUGUAAUUACUUUUUAUGGCUUAUAUUUUAUCUCCAUAUUUGAUUUCUUCUUUGAUUAUGAGUAGCUAAACCCAUUAUCUAGGGUUGUGAUCCAACCCUAGUGUGGGUAUUUAAUGAGUCUUCAAUUUUAGGGCUUAAAUAUUUAUGGGUUAAUGAUAUUUAGCUUGAUUUAUGCUUUAAUUGUUGAAUUAGUGGUUGCAAACACUUAUUUGUGCCUUUUUGACUUAGGCUCUUCUUGAUAAAGAGAGGUUAAGUCUAGGAAAUUCAGGCUAACAAGGAAUUGGAGUGCUGCAUUCAAGAGAUUGAUAGCCCCAAUUAAAGGGUUAAUCCUAGAGAUAAUAAUACCCAACUUGAGUCAAUUUUGCUUGCAUUUUUUAAACACCCAAUUGGGCUUGAGAAAACCAAUUAGGGAAAAGUCACUCAAACUACCGAGAGAUAUAGAGUGAGCAACUAUGUGCAAUGAUUAUAUCAUGAUCUCAAUCACAACAAGUUUGCCCUAAGUUUUAGACUCUGUUAGAUACCUACCUAGGUGUAUGUCAGUUCCCUAGUGCCUUUAUACCAAUUGAGAAAACUUUACAAAUAUAUCAUACUUAGCUUAUUUUCAUUCUUCAUUAGUGAUUAAAAGUAGAAUAGUAACCAAAAUAAAGCAUGAUUAGAAGUGUAAUUAAGAACAUCGCACAUAGCUAGAUUAGAUAGAAACCCAAUUCCAAACCAAUAUUAGCUCUCUGUGGAUUCGAUCCCGACUUUUUGGGUAAAAGCUGCAUCAACCACUCUUGCCAUUCUAUAGUGGUAUAGGGUUGGAGCCGAUCACUUAUCUAGAAGUUUUAAUUAGGAACCUCUUGUAAACCAUAAACUUUCAGUGUUUGUGUCGUGACUAGAGCUAGUCAUGAAUUGAAGUCUUUGUAAUAGGUGUAUUGCAAAGUGGCUUGUAAUAGGUGUAUUACAAGUUAGUGAGGGAUUAAGAGUUUAAUUCCUAGAUUGCAUAGAUUGUAAUCUGAAGUUUGCUCAUAGUGAAGUUCAAAUCCUACCAGUGUAGGUCGUGGUUUUUUCAUCCCCUUGAGUAGGGAUUUUUUCAUGUAAAAGUUCCAUGUUCUAUUUGCUUACUGUCACCUUAGCAUUCUCUGUGGAAACCUAUGUAGGACCUGGUCUCUAUAUAGUUUGGUGGACUCAUAUAUUCUAUCACUUAGACAUGCUUGAAUAUCACUUUACAGGAAUGAAUAGCAUAGACAUCCUUAACUGCUAAGAGUAAAACUACUUAUGGAAUAGCAUUACGUUUAUGUAUCGUUACUUUGAUCAUGCCAAAAGGAAGAAGGGAUAGCCUUAACAUACUUGAUCUGAUUCUCUUAACAAUCCCUUUAACACAUGUCUUUGCAAAAAACACGUAACGCCAGGUCAAAGUAAGGGAAAAAUUCGUACUUGAUAUUCUUGAUAUCAUAGCACGUUAUUUCUUAUCCAACUAAUAUUCACUCCAUACUCUACAUCAUCAAACAAUUCUUUCAGCCUUCUUCUUGUCAUGUCUUCCAAUUCUCCAACUUAUAUCACUAAUAAAGAAACCGAAACAAAGGUAAUUAUCCAAAUACUUUCACGUGUAAACAAGGUAUCUUAUGUGUUAUGACUCAUCAUGCACAUUGGUGCCAUCUUGGCCUAGAUUAAUGCCAUAUGGAAGCCUAUAACAAAAUCUUUAUCCACUUAAUCCUGUUUAAUACCAUAAUUAUCCCCAUAAUUAAUUAAUUAUUCCCAAAAUUAAUUAAUUACUCACAUAAUUAAUAAUUAUCUCAAAUUACUUAAAAUACUACUCACUUUUAACCUACUUUAUACACCUUAAUAUCAUAGUUAUGUGGUACCUUGUAUGGCACUAUAUUAUAAAUACUGGGUAUUAUAGCUUGGACCGUAUUUUAUCCCAAAUUGUCAAACUUCGACGAAACUCAUUUUCUUCGAUUCACUUACCCUCUCACCUUCACGAAUUUACUUAUAACUUAUUUAAAAUGGCGUACUUAUAACCUCGAAAACAGUCUUGUCCUCAACCUAAAAUACUACUAUUAAAAUAUUAAAGUAUUAAUAAAUCAUGGUAUCAUAUAAAAUUAAUACAUAUACUAUUAUUUUAUUAAAAUCUAUACAUGUAAAAAUACAUAUAUUUUCUCAACUUCUAAUUUUCCUAAUCUCAUAUAAAGAGUACAGAUUUUUGUAUGCUUAAUUCUUAAAAUGGUAAAAAUAUAACCUUCUUUUUUUUGUGAGGAAAUAAUUUCUAUCUUUACAAUAAAGAAAAUGUCAUAAACUUUCUCAUAUUAUGUGUAUAAUUUAAAGCAUAUUCAAAAUUAGUAAUAUUAAUAACUAUAUAAAAUCAUAUUUUUCAAACUUUUUUUACAAAAAUGUUCCACUCAAAAUAUCAUAUCAAAUGUAUAUAACGGUAUCAAGGUUGUUAAACUUACGGGGUCUUACAAUAACAUAAUCACAAAUUCUUUAUAACCUUAUGAAUGGUCUUAAUCCCUUCAAGCUCAUAUAGAUUACUACGACUCAUCCUAAUAUUAAGUACGGGAUGUAACACUUUGAUAUUGAGUUAUUUGCUUAAUUACAGUUAUGUAUUCAGUCGCAUUCAUCAUUACAUAUCAUAUCUUAGUCUUUGUUAUUGUAUAUUUUCACAUCUCAUAUAAUUGAUUUGGCUGCUUAGCAUGAGUGUGGUGAGCUCGAGAGACUGGAGAGAUUGAUGUCUGAGUGAGGUUGAGGGCCUGAUUUUGAGGAUAUCGAUACUAUAGCACGUGAGUUGUCUGUGCAGCAUAUGAGUUGUCCGUGCAGAUCCAAAUAUUGAUGCUAUAGCAUGUGAGUUGUCCGUGCAGCACGUGAGUUAUCUGUGCACAUCCAGAUAUUGACACUAUAUCACGUGAGUUGUUCGUGCAGAUUAUAGCGCUUGAGCUGAAGGAGCCCCUACGGAGUCUGUACACCCGAGUAAGCGCAGUUGCUAGCAGUUAUUAUGUUUGGACUGGAUUUGCCAUGUAUAAUAAUGAGUAAUUGAGUGUGUCGAGUGAUUGAGCAUAAUGAGUAGAAAGUGUGAGACAGUGAAAUUGAGUACUCUGAGAGUGUGAGUACAUAAGUUCAUCACUAAGAUACAAUGCAUUUGACAUGCGUACUUGAGAUACAUGCAUAGAGAUGCAUUUUCUUCUGCUACCUGAUUUUGGUGACAUUCAUGAUUUCACUUGUAUAUUGACACAUAAGCAUAGAGAUGUAUAUUCCUCUUGCUACCCGAAAAUGAAACAUCUUGUUUAUUGUUGUAAGAUUUUUGGGGAAAAUCACACUUUUCAAACUUACUCAUACAUUUUUCGUGUUAUCGGUGAAAGAUUUAGAAUUGACUGCUAUACUUGAAAGGCAUGCCUAUUUUUCCGUAAGUGUGAGCAAGUUGAGCAUCUUAUCUAUGAGUUAUUUCCUGUACCACUUUUAUAAUAUUAUUAUGAAUUGUGGCUGGUUAGUGGAGUUGGACUUUGACCCUUGUACCGGCUCAUCACAACUUUCAAACUACGGUUAGGUUUGUUACUUGUUGAGUACAUGGAGUCAAUUGUACUCAUACUACACUCAUGCACCUUGCGUGUAGAUGUUGGAUGUUGAUGUUGUUGCGCACGUAGGGAGCUGGAUUUGAAGAUGUAUCUGUGUUUCGGCCAUAGCUACCUCUUGAUCUUGGUAGCUUCAGAAUUUUCAUCUGUUCAUGUAUAUUUCAAACAGAUGAUGUACUUUAUUUUAUACCUGCUUUGUAAAUUCAAAAAUCUUAGAAGCUCAUGAUUUGUACUACCAGUCCUUGAGAAAUUCUUUGUAUUAAAGCGGUUGUAUUACCUUUUCUUCUCUUAAUAAAUCUUAUUAAAUUGGAUAGUUGGUUAUUUCUUACCUAGCGGGUUGGAUAGAUGCCAUCACGACUAGUUGGAUAUUGGAUCGUGAAAAGUUGGUAUCAGUGCCCUAGGUUUAUAAGUUCUACGAGUCAUGAGCAAGUGUCUAGUGGAGACUUAAGGAUCGGAAUGAUGACGUCCAUACCUAUCUUUGAGAGGCUACAUGGCAUUUAGGAUAAAUUUCCCAUCAUUCUUUCUUUAUCAUGCGACAAUGAUUUAGCCUGAAGUAUAACUCUUUGAAAUCUCUUCCACGCAAUUGUGAGCGCUCGAUAUCAACUAUGUAUCAACGGCUAGUGAUUCCAUGGAUGGGGUGCGAGAUGUGAUUUUUGUGUGCUGAUGAUGGGCCAGUCUGGAGGACUUAAGGCCGGGUUUUGACAGUAGCUUGAGCACAGGGAUUUCGAUUAUGCGAGCAGGUGCUUUUGGACUUAUAUUUCUCGAUGAGUGGCUGGAUGGCUCUAUGAUGAGUAUGAUGUGACUGCGAGAUGUGUUCAGAUGGUUUGAUUGCGACAAGAAUAGUAUGCUUGAGAUGUAAAAAGGACUAUUGGGUAUUUGAUCGUUGUCUUGAUGUGACGUAUAGUCUCGAGUUAUGAGUGUGUUGAAAGUUUUUUCACGUUGUUCUUUCGUGGGGUGAAGCAGAUUCAUAUGUUCGGUUGACGAGCUUAGACUCGGGAAGAUGUAUUGAAUGCUUAGUGGUUAUGGUCGUGGUAGGACAUAAGGGCUGUCAGUUUGGGGUUGAGCGGGUGGGUUAUCUCUUACGGGGUGUCCAAAAGUUGUGUGAUUCCUUAUGUUGUUUUUGUGGAGAGUUCUCUCUUACCAGUGGAUUAUAUGUGUUGCAAUUUGAGUUUGGAUCGCUUGAGGAAGUUGGCUUGACUGUGACAAGGAUGAAUGCGAUAUUUGUAGAUAAUUUAAAGUAUUAAAUGGUUGGCGUUGCACGAGCUUAUGAAGGACUUAGUUGAAUAUCACUACAGUAUUAUGGCAGGAAUAGAGAAUGGGUAUACUAAGUUAUCGACUGUCUUUAGCUAUGUCUUUGAUCUAAGUGGGGGAGACUAUUAUCGAUAAUUGUAUUUCAUGAUUAUGUGUUGUACUGGUUUUGGUUUGAGGCAUACUUAUGAAUCAGAUAUGACUUGUAGAGGUCGAUUUUGAGGAUGGCUUAAGUAAGGAAUUUUGGGAUGUGUGGUGUAUUACACUUUAUAGGUAUAUGAAAAUCGUGGAAUGAUUUGACUUUGCUAUUCAUGACAAAUGUAGUGUGCAUAGAGUAGGGGUUCACUCGGUUAUUUAGAGGUGUGGGUUACUUCUUCAGGUGUUGUUGUGCUAAUGAGGCAUAGGUCAUUUGGCCCAUUUGGGCAGUGCAAUUGAGAUUUAGGCAGAAUGGGUGACUCUCGAGAAAGUUCUAAUGGAUUCAAGAUUUAUAUAUAGCAAUUAUGAGUUUUUCCGAAUUGGUAUAUGGCUAGGAUCUGAGAUUUACAUUGGAUGGUGUUGAUGCUCGCGAUAUUUCUAUGUCAUUAUGAAUUUUACAUUUCGAUAUCAAGAAGGUGAAGGAAAUGACUUUAGACUCACAGAAGGUCUCUUUAGAAUGGGUAUCUUGGUUGUGAUACUUUUGGGGUACUUAAGAGGGAAUUCAACGGCUUAUGAGCCUUAGGGCGGUGUGGUUCUAAGUCUUGUAGGGUGAGUUUUGGUUAAGGAUUGUGGUAUUCUGGCAAGGAAAAGUGUCACCUUAAGGUUGAUUCGGAAGGAACUCAGAGAAAUAGGACAGUUUGGUAGUAGGUUGGGAGCAGAUAUGGUGAUUCUUAUGUUAUAUGAAUUUGGAGACUAGGAGUUCUCAAAAGCAGAUUAUCUUGUGGUUGUAGACUGUAAAGUUGUGGCUAAAGCUAGCCAGAUGAUAGUAUGUGUUAUGAUUCAGUCAUUGUAGACUUUCGGAGGGUUAUUUAUCUAUUUGUGGGUGACAAGAGUUGAUUUCGGGUCCAUUUGUGGGCACAAUGAGGAUGUGUAUUCUACACCGGGUCAGAUUGGUUAACUCCGUACUUCUAUUAUUGAGGGAUGUUCCAUUCGAUUAGAGUUGAGCUUAUUCGUAUUCUGAUAUAUUCUAUGAUUUACCCUUCUAAUCCAUGAGGGGUGGUGAUUCCUUGGUUAUAUGCACACAUGGUGCGGUUCUAUUUGGGACUUAUAGCGGUAAUUGAGCGAGAUGGGUAUUAGGGUAUUGAAUGAGUGAUUGUGCAUUGGUUAUGUUCUUUCCAGACUAUGGUAUUGUGUUAUUUGUUUCUAUGUGGUUAUGGUCAUGCAUCUUGGGUACUUGAUGUCGAAUUAUGCAUGGUCUUUGAGUUAGGAAAUGGUGGCUUGAGGUAUUUUAUAUAGACCAGUAUUUGAAUGGGGUCUAGGGGUGGGCAUCGGUCGGCUCGGUUCGGUUGUGAAUAUUAUCGGUUCGACAUAUCGGUUAUCGAUUUUUAAAUAUGCUAAACUGAUAAGAUAUCAGUUAUCGAGUAUCGGUUAGUCAGUUAUUGAUCCUUAUCGGUUCGUUAUCGGUAUACCCGAUAAGAAUAAAAAAAUCCAAAAAUUUAUAUUUUAUUAUAUAAAUCGUGAUCAUACUGUUAAGAGAAAGGGACUGAAUUUUUUCUCUUAAGAAAAGAGGGAUUAAAUUCCAACUUUAGAAAAAGAAAAAUUUCUUUGCAUUUGAAAAUCCUAAUGAAUGAUCUAAACUUUCAUAGUUAUAAGUUAGUAGGAGUAAGGAAUAAGACAUUCAAUAGUCUAAUCUUACUAACUUUCUUACUGCGGGCUGGCAUAAUUCACAUGAAAAUAAUAAAAACUUAAUCUUAUAAAUACUAAAGAAUCAGUGCAACAAAAGAAAUAAAUAGAAAAAUCAAAAAUCUGAACAAUUAAUUCUUUUAAAGUUUAGAACUAAAAAUCUUAAUUGAAGAAUUAAGAUGAGAAAUUCAAAAAUGUUUAAAACUUACUCUAAGGAUUAAGGUCUAAAUAUGAAGAGUAACUAACGAGAGAUAUUGAGAAAAUGAGAGAAUGAAGCCGUAAGGUGGCUUUAUAUACUUAGUGAGUGAAAUUAUAAUUUUAUUAACGCUUAUUGGGCUGUCGGUUAAACCAUUAAUAAAAUUGGGCAAAUCGAGACCCAAACCGAAUACCCAAUAGUCAAAUAACGUUAAAUUGUUAUCGAACUAUUUACCCAAUACUGAUAUCGAUAACCCAAUAGUAUUUUAUCAGUUUGGGCUAUCGGUUAUACUCGAUAUAAGCCCAGCACUAAUGGGGUCAUGCAUUGCAACAGAGUUAUGUUGAGAUAUGAUCCUUUGUGUUAGGUUCGUGUAUCUUGGUUCUACUAUGUAUGAUGGAUUUGUAGCAUUGCGAUUGUGGUGGUACUUUUUGAACUUGCGAGAUGGUUUUCUCGUUUGAGUCAUUUUUCAUGAUUGAGUACAUUUGGAUUGUUGCUUAUUGGUGCACGGAUUGCACAGUUUGUGGCUUUAGGUUGUAUUGAUAUGGAAAGUUACUAGAGUGGUUGUGUUUGAUAAGAUGAGGUCAUUGGACCUAGAAUGGAUACUAUCAGAUUUGAUUACGGAAGAAUAAUAUCGGAAGUUGGCUUACGAUUUGGCUUUGGUUCUUAUGAGAGCUCCAUGACUUAUUGAUAUGAUAAAUAGUUAUGAGUUUCUGCAUGUUUCAUAGAUCAUCUGCAGUGUAUAAAGGUUUUAGAACGAGGUUUUGUUUGAUAUGAGGUUUAUUACCGAUAUUGGGAUGUUUUGAGCAGCUACUAUGAUCGAACAUUUUGCUACGAGUAUGUGAGUCAUGUGGUAUGUCAUGUGAAUGCAUCUUAGGUUAUGGUUGUGGCUUGAUACAGCUUGUUCAUACUUAUACAAUAUGUAGAUGCGAAGUUCGGGUCUUGUAAGAACUUUCGGACAUUGGAAAUUGGAUUAUGUGGUUUACGGGCUAAGGUUGAAGUAAUGAUCUUCAGUUAUGUUGUGUUGUCGGGCCUAUAUGGAAUAGGGAGACGUGGGAUCACCCCCAGGUAUGUGCAAAAUGGGACCACAUCAGAAGUAUUCAAGGCUUAAACAAUAAAAAUAUAAAUAUAUGAAACCUCACCAUCAAUUUAUUAUACAAAUCGACAAAAACCCUAGCUUUAAUAUGUAGGACCAACAAGACAAGGACCACCACAAAUAAAAGUAAUAUAAAUAAAUCUAGAAAGGUAUAACAAAUAGCUCUGAUAACAUAAAAACAUCACAUGCAAAAGACAUAAACUUGUCAGUUUCCAAAUAUUCUCCAACCCUACAAUUUAGUAACUUAAAGUUGUAAACACUUACUUUAAUCGAAUGAUAUUGCAAGAUAGUGCUGGAAAUCAAAGUUGUUUAUGUUUUGUGCGCACCAAAUUGGAGCAAACCAUGAACCCUAAAGAAACCCUAAAAUCGCUAUUUGAUGGUUUAGAUAGAUGAAAUGAGAGAAAUGGUAAAACUGAGUGUUUUGUCGUUGGGUAUAAGGUAAAAGAACUGACCCACAUAAAAAAAAGUGGGUCGAAUCGAUUAAAUUGGUCAAAAUUUAUCCAAAUACAAUUUUUAGCCCUACUGAGCUUCGUGGCCAAAUGAAAGAAUGUCACAUCAUUUAAUGAGAGGCCCACAUGAAGUGUCGUUAGUCGCAAGGGCAAUUUUGACAAUAGAAUUAACGCCCUAUAUAUUUUCAGGCAAAUAAAUGGACGGGAGUUUUUUGUAAAGUAUUUAGCAUACGAUAGGAGUAUUUUAGGCUUUUUUCCCCUUAAAAAUGUAGGAUAGAUAUACUCACUUAAACAAAUUAAACAAGUAAAUUCUAUUCCGUAAUAGAAUGCAAGUGGUAGAUUUGCUAUGUAUCUAAAUAUAUUGCCCACUUUAAAGGGUAUGUUGGAUAAAUUUGGGAUUCAUGUGGGAUUGGAAUUUGGAUCAAGUUAAAUUUUCAAUUCAAAUUUACUAGUCUAAUUAAUCAAAUUCAUUCUGAUCCAGUCAACAAGUUGAUUGGCCUAACAUUUAAGGUUUUAGGAUUUCAGAUGAUUUUAGUAUUGCAAAAUUUAGUAGAUAUUUCGGGAAUGUGACGACAACAAAGAAAGUAACUAUGAGUCUAGAACCUAAAUGUUUCUUUUUUGGACUCAAAAUAUAUAAAUAGGUGGGGAAAAAACUUAGUGACCAAAGUAUAUAAAACGUCCUUUUGAACCACGUUUUACCUUAACAUCCAUUUGGGACGUUUUAUAUAAAACGCCUUUUGUAAAUACGUUUUACCUGAAGCUGAUUGGACAUUUAGUUAAAACGUGGUUCAAAAGGACAUUUUACAUAAAACGCCUUAAUAAACCAUGCCUCUUCAAAUACCGUCCCCUUCCCUUCCCCCACAUUCAAAAUCAGAACCCCCAUUUUAAAAUUAGAACAGCAAUCCCCCUCCCCCAAUUAAUGAGAUUAAAAACUCAAGUGGACCCCACCCGUCCCAUAAAAAGUAAAUAGUGUUGGCCCCACAUCCUAGCUAAGGCCUUCUUUCGUUGUGGUUGCUCGUUUGGACUAAAAUCUUCAAUUCUUCAACAUUCCAAAAAACAUAAAUCGAGGUACUCCGAUUUAAUUUUUGUCGAAACUCGUAUAAAAAAUGCAUAUUAGUUGUUUUACAUGUGUUCUAUGUUGUUUUGUAUUUUUUGCGAUUAAACUAGUAUGUUAUCUUUAUCCGAACUUAGAUAUUAGUGUGCUAAAAAAAAUAUGUAAAAAUUGAGAAAUCAUUAUUAUUUGUUAAAAAAUGUUAAUAAGUUUUUUUUACUGUUGUAUAUGUAUUUUCAUGAAUGUUUUGUAAUUAAAUGUAUUUGUUAUUUUUAUCUGGUUUAUAUUUUUUAUUUGCUUAAAGACCAGUAAUAUAGUAACCUUUUAGGGUAGUAAAAUAUAAUGCAUUUUAGCGUAGUAAAAUGUAGUGCAUUUAUCGUAACAAAAUAUAGUGCCUUUUAGCGUAGUUUCCUUGUAGUUUAAGUAUCUCUUAUACUCAAAUAUACGUCAAAAUAACUGAUAGAUCAAACAUAAACUCUAUCCAAUUAUAGUCAACAUAUAAUUGGUGUUAUUAAGCCACAAAUAUCAAGCCUGGAACCCAUAUGUGAAUAUUUAAUAAUUAAAUAUUGUAUAAUUAUAAAAAUUAAUUAUUUAAUUUACAAAAAAAACAUAUAAAAUUAUAAAACUAAUAUGUAAAAUAAUAAAACUAACACAAAGAAAAAUUCAGGAUAUCUUGGUGCUACUGGGCCUCAAAUAUUGAGUCUGGAACCCAUAUGUGAAUACGUAAUAAUUAAAUAUUUUAUAAUUAUAAAAAUUAAUUAUUUAAUUUACAAACAAACAUAUAAAAUUAUAAUAAAAUAACACAUACAAGAAUUCAGGAUAUCUUGGUACUACUGGGCCAUAAAUAUCGAGUCUAGAACCCAUAUGUAAAUAUUUAAUAAUUAAAUAUCGUAUAAUUAUAAAAAUUAAUUAUUUAAUUUACAAACAAACAUAAAAAAAUUAUAAAACUAACAUGUAAAAUAAUAAAACUAACACAUAGAAGAACUUAGGAUAUCUUGGUACUACUGGGCCUCAAAUAUCGAGCUUGGAACCCUUAUGUGAAUACAUAAUAAUUAAAUAUUGUAUAAUUAUAAAAAUUAAUUAUUUAAUUUACAAACAAACAUAUAAAAUUAUAAAACUAACAUGUAAGUAAUGUUGUUUAAUUUAUAGUAGACGACAUAGAGGUGCCACCUAUUCAUCCCAGACCUUCCAGCGAUGAGCUACUAUCGUUACAGGGCGAUCAUAGGUCCGCCCACAUAUGGGAGGGAGAGUUUACUGACCCAGACUCUCCGCGUCAGGAGAGUGCACGACAUGUGGGACUUUCUGCAUGACAGGGUUAUCCAUCCUUGUGUAGUCACACGCCUGCGGGAGAUGGGUUUCUACAGGAUUUUGGAGAUUGCGCGGCUGCAACUCGAUUGGUCUUUGGUCACGUUCCUGAUAGAGCGGUAGAGACCGGAGAGCACACAUUCCACCUGCCCAUUGGCGAGGCCACCAUCACACUGCUGGACAUGGAGGUUUUAUAUGGGAUACCAAUUGAUGGACACCUGUUGCUUUGCCGCAAGGCAUGAGAGAGAUGACAGGUAUGUAGUACCUGGACAUACUACAGCGACUCACUGCUUUCCAGCCACAGGAUGAGAAUGUACUGGCUGGGACCAGUCAUUUUUUGUUGACGACUAUUCGACAGUAUUUGGAGGCAUUGCAUCCUGACAUUGAUGGCGAUACAGCGGAUUAUCAUGUUCACCGGUAUAGAGGUUGUUGCUAGUCUGUAUGUUUGGAGGGGUCUUGUUCCCGAACACUUCGGGGAACCUGAACCUAGUCAGCUUGAGAUUUCUUCAUCAUCUUGAGCAGCUAGAUGAUUUACCCUAGUACAACUGGGGUGAUGCUAUUCUCGCCUACUUGUACAGGCAGAUGUUCCGGGCGAGCAUGGGCACCCAGAGUGAUGUUGUUGGAUUUUUGUCGCUANNNNNNNNNNNNNNNNNNNNNNNNNAAAAUUUUACGUCAACUUUUCAUGUUAGGUUUGGGCCUAGGAGUGGUUCCUGCAGUUGCAGUCACCUCUACCACCAUUAGAUCCGGAUGUACCACCUCUGUUGCUCCCUCUAGCUAGGAGGUGGGUUCUUCGGCGGGGACAUACGCACGAGUACGAGGCUCGGCAUAGUCUCUCCUUGUGCAGGGAUAUCUUGGAUUUGCUGGAGGGUGCACAGGUAAAUGUAUAUCUAAGUUUACUUGUCAUAGCUUCAUAUGUGUUGCGUAUACUCAUGUUUUCUUUUCUUACUUAAUAGUUCAUCUAGACGCCAUAUAGCGACGCGUUGAUAGCUGGCUCGCCCAAUUAUUUCUCGGUCGGCUGACCUAUGUAGGGCUCUUCCGUCCCGUUGAUCUGCGUUGAUAUUGUCGAGCAUCAUGCUACCGAGCGAGUACUUCACCAGUUUGCCCGUCCGUAGCUCGUACCGACACCGCCACCUAGCAUACCACACAUUACCAGCGGGAUGAUCGUUCCAGGUGGACGACGCAUAUUUGGUAUGGCUAGAGGAGCAAAUAUUUAUUUGGGACCAGCGAUUUGACCUGAUUCUGCCCCCCUUCACCUAGUCGCCCGGAUACUGAGCAUGAUUAUAUGGGCUGGUGUCACAGCAUUACCCGAAUUUUCAUGGGGAAUACCAUUCAUCGAGUUACCAAUCGGUACGUUCCAUACGUCGGGAGGCACGAGGCACCGGUAUGUUAUUUGGUAUUCUUACUUAAAACUAUGACCUAGCGUACUGUAAUUUAUAUUUUACAUGUUGUGCAGGCUAUUAGCCUACAUUUAUUCCACUAGUUGGGAUUGUAGAUGCAGCAGCAUGCAGGCGAGAGAGCGACCAUUUUGGACGAGUAUGGUCGGUAGGUUACAGAGCUGGAUGCCCGGACACUGUAGCGAGCAUGAGAGGACGAGCGCUUAGUGCACGUCCCUGCUUAUGAGGCACCAGAGCACUACCAUCGAGGUAGUCCUGUUCUACGAGGUAGGGGAGCACGAGGCAGGGCUGUCCCACGAGGUAGGGUUGUCCCAAGGAAUCGGGGGGCCGGCAUAAAGGUGGUCCCCAGCAAGGGGGCAUUGAGGCACCUAUUGAAGAUGUUGGAGCUGAUCUACUAGGUGACCUUCAUCAGCCAGACGAGCAUCACAGCAUCAUGCCGUCAUUCAGCCUUCAGCUGCCGAUCACUCCAGUGACUUCGCAGGUGACCCCGUCAGAUCCAUUGUUGAUUACGGGCACAAGCUUUACCGGAGAGGAUUUGGAUUAGACUUUCAAGACCCAUCGACCGCUGUUGAGGAUCGGCCGACCCGAGAUGUGGAUAGUGGGCGCCGGCUGAGUUAUGGCUCAUCAUCGAUGGGUGCUAGGGAUCUUUCACAGGCGCAGGUAUAUUUGUAUUACUAUUAAAUUUAAAUAUAUUUUUAUCUCAUUGAUUCACCAUAAAUAACUUUAUAAUUUUCUUAUUAAGGUUUCAUCCCCGCCCGUCACGGAAACCUCUUUGUGCGAUGCUGACCUCGAUGCGACAGGUACUUAUAUUCAAGAGCCCGACGAGACCAUGGUAAGACAAUUUAAAUUUAUUUUGACUUAACACGUACAUUGCUAAUAUAUAUUUUUAUAUACUUAGCUGACUUAUUCUUCUGUAGGUUGCUGAUGGACCGACGACCCCUUCUACCGAUCCUGCCAGCACUGCUGACGAUCAUGUUGUAGCGCAUCCUGCGAUAGAGAGGCAACGCGAUGAAGAUGAUCCUGAUAGCGUAUUCGGUCGGGAUGGGAUGCGCCUCAGGCCAGCGGUUGCAUUGAAGCACACAUGUUGUGGGAUACAUUGAUUUUUUUUUUUGUAUUUUAUGUAAAUAAUAACAAUAAUAUUUUAUGUUUACAUUAUAUGCGCGUUAUGUUUUUAUUUUUUCGUUUCUUCUUUAUUUUAAUACUACAAUACAAGCACAAACAUAGCAACUUAACAUAAUUUAAAUUCAGUACAACUAAUGAAAACACAUGACAUCGGAAAUAUAAAGAUAAAGUACUACACUCAACACAUACAUGCAAUUGUUUAGUCACGACCGCCUAUUAUUCUCUGCUCCAACCACUUAAAUUUCUCUUCCAGCUUAUUGCUUUCUUCUUCCGCCUCUUUUAGUUUCUCCUUCAACUCUGCAAUUUCUCAUUUAUAUUCUCGUUCAUAUUCCCACUAAUUUUUGGUCAAAUCAUGAUAAUACUGCAAAGACUUUUGUAGCAUUCCUGCUUACAGGGUUCAUCAAACCAUCCCUCAAAAUUACAAAAAUUUCCGUUGUUGCCUCUAAACCUGUUCACACACAUCCAGUAUAUGCGCCCAACUUGACCAUCAUCCCAACAGUCCACCAACAUAUAACAUUUGCCACAUUGGAACAUUGGUACAUAAAUGCAUUCAAACAUUUGUUAAAGCGGAAAAAACCCUGCUUUUAUGGAAAGUUUUGCUAUUUGUUAUGGUUAAGCGCAAAAAUAACUAGAAUGCACCCGUUAUUUAUAGGCAAGGCAACACACAUAACGUAGUAUUUAACCGCAGUAUGUUCAUACAUAACAUAGUAUUUAAUCGUGCUAUGCUUUGCGUGUUAAAGAUUCUUUCGGAUACAAAACAACUUUUCUGCAGGCGGAUAGCUUUUCAGAUCGACAAGACAACACACAAAACAUAAUAUUUAACCGUACUAUAUAUGCUCACACACAACGUAGUAUUUAACCGCGCUAUGCUUCGCGUGUUAAAGAUUCUUUCAGACACAAAAUAGCUUUUUCGCAGGUGGGCAGCUUUUCAUAUCGACAAGACAACACACAUAACGUAGUAUUUAACCGUGCUAUAUAUAUUCACAUAUUUAUCA
rnacentral:lncRNA from 1 species